ACAUGCUGGCAUGGGUGUGUGCUUGGGUCAGAGUAAGUCACUGCCUCGGAUGUUAGUGGUUUGUGUAUGGAUGGGCUACACAAUGGUGCUUAAUCUGCUGAAGAAAUCUCAGGCCACAAAGGACUGUAUUAUAUAGACCAAAUUGGAAAAUCAUAUAUGUCAUGAUGGUGAAAUCUUUAGAAGGCUGAAAGUGUUUCUUGUUGGGGUAGUCGUAACUUUGUUUUGUGGGUCAAUGUAGGUUCAGAGAUUGGUCGGGUUCUUACAGUAAUGCUCUGUGUCUAUUGCCUUCUAAUGCAAUGCUGGUACCUUUAUGUGGCUCAUCCCUGUCCUUUGACAGGCCUAGUUCUCAUUUCCCAACAUGAUGAAAUUUUUCUUUGAGAUGAAUAAUGAGAUGGAAUCAGCCAGCAUUGCAAAGUUCUUAGGUAUAUUUAGAAAGAUGGCUGAGUAGUGGGAUACUGCAAGUAUCCAUAUGCUGCAGCGAAGUUCUGAUCCUGAGUGGAUGGUCUUGGGAUGGUCCAAAAAUUUGUAUGCUAUUGGUUGAAUGGUCAGUACCAGGAACAAUUUGGUUAUGCAGACAUGUUUGAAUUGGAGUUCUUUGCCCUUUAUCAUUGACCCGUGAUGCAACACAAUGAAGAAAGCAGAUAUAAAUUAUGGAAUUUAUUUUCAUUAGAGAACAUCUCCUUGUAUGUUUAAAAUGUUCAAUAAGAUAUAACGAAAAGAUUAUUAUUAAUGAAAAUCUGAUGUUUUGUUUGGACAUAUUAGAGUGAGAUGGCUCGUUCAGGAAGUUCACCUAAGUUUAUGAUAAAUGGAGUACAAGGACACUGUUAUUAUUAGCAACAAAGUUUGGUUAUCUGUAUGAUCAUCUUAGAGUGAUAUAAUUUGUUCAUUGGAAUCAUUGAAGGUUUUUAAAAAUCAUAGUACAGGUCCAUUCAGUUUGCUGGUUGGUAUGAUACAUAUCAUGGUAUGUAGUGGUCCCACAUCAUUGUUUUUGAAUCCUUGCCAAAUAUUAUGGCAGAUGGAUCAUGAAGAAUUAUGUAAGGGAAGUUUAAUAUUCUGUAAGAUGUUCUAUUAUUGCUGUUAAACAAGGUUCACAAUCUCAGUACCAGACUCUGUACUAGUACCAUGCUGAUACAAUAUUGGCACACCCAGUACGGGGAUCGGUUUGGCAUACCGAGACUUGGCACACCCUGUAUUAAGUCUUGGUUCGGUACCAGUAUGGUAUGGUAUGGCUAGUAUGGACAGUACGUAUCAGUAUGGUGAAUCUUGCUGCUAAAACUUUGCCUCUGUUUUCCAAUUUCCAUACUGCAUAGAUCUAGAAAGGCCAAAUUCAGACACUGGAAUACUGCAAGCUGUACAUGCAUGCCUUUUCUACAUUGUUUUCUUUCUAUUUUUAUUUUAUACCAGAGAAACAUCUUUAAAUAGUUAUCGAGGAAAAAAAGAGAGAUUGCGGACUGUCAAUUAAUAUCCUUUGAUUACUAUAUAUGCAUUUGUAAUCUGUGUGAUGUCUGCCAUCUGUUGCUGUUGUUGCAUCAUUAGCUAAAGAUUGUCCGCAACAUUAAGUGAUAUACAAAGCUAUAUUAGAUCAGUGGUAUCUUGAUCCAAAAACGGAUGCUUGAAUUCUCUUAGCUGUGGAAAGUUUCGCAUCUUUUCUAAUAGUACACAAAGCGAUUAUAUCUUUAUCGUUACUAUUUGCUGACGUGAACUAAUUGUUUCUCCUGUAGCAAAUGCGGCCACCCCUUCCAGAGGAUGCCCCUCCUGAGCUAAUGUUCAUUGUGCAGUCAUGCUGGGUUGAGGACCCUAAUACACGUCCCAGUUUCAGCCAGAUCAUACGGAUGCUAAAUGCCUUCUUAUUCACACUCCCUCCACCAUCCUUGCCAGAGCCUGAAGCUGCUCCUUCUGUGGUGAACAACGGGGGCGCCAUUACAGCUACAUCCUCCGCACGUGGUGGUGGCAAGCUUUCUUUUUUUCGUCAGCUCUUUGCUGCAAAGAAGUCAGGCAAUAGCAGGACGUGAGCAGUAAAGGUUUCGGAUGUUUUGUUCUUGGAAAGGGGAAGUAUUAUAAGUUGUGUAUACAGGAAUAUCAUGCUUAUGAGAAAUUGUAGGGAAUGAUACUAAAGCAAGCGGAAAUUACAAGUUGAAUAUUCCUGAUCUUCUAAUCUAACAGUUGACAGCGGGCAUCUCUGGUUUAGUUUUGCUCAGAGUGAUGUCUAUAGCUAGAUAGUGUCAAACUUGAUAGAAUUUCACUGACAAGUGAUACCGAGUUUCAUUGCAAUGAAAUCAUUCUUAACUGAGUGUUAAAAUAAUCAGCAUUAGAUGCUCAGUAAUUGGAUAUCUGCUGAGUACUUCCAGUUUCCUUGAAACAGAGACUGGUUUACACCUGUUCAAGUUGUAUGGCUUUUUUUAGUUUCAUGACCUGUACUUCAAUGUUUUCUGUUUGAACUACGGGAUAUGGUUAUGAAAAUGGCUUUUUAUACAUCAAUGAUAGCAGAGAGGUGGAUGACUCAUUUAUAUUAUCAUUAUGGAUAUUGGACCUACUUUUGUCACUCAUAAGCAAUUUUUUGUGGCAGGUGCAUUGUGUGAUGUUUUUUAUUUUUAUUUUUUUUCUGGGAAGUCUGUUCAUACUUUGAUCCAUUAAUGUCACUAAUGCUGAUAAUGGAAUCAUCUAUUUCUCACUUAAUCAUUUAUAUUAUUUUUUAGAUUUCUAUUUUAUGUUUCCUGUCUAUAAAUUAACAUUCCAAGUUUGGGUGGCUCAGAUGACAAUUGGCAUCUUUGUGUGUGAGGGCUGUCUUGUUGAAAUCACUGUGAUACGGUGUUAUUGUAAUUCAUACCCAAUACUUCAUCUGAUUACCGGUAAUGAUGACCCAUUGAAUAUAAAUAUCUUUUCGGGUCUCGCCCGUUAUACAACUGACCUCAACUGUGGGCUAGACGGCCUUUAUUUCUUAUCUCUAUCAACCUUUAUUGUAUUUAAAUUGGAACAUGAAAUUUGCUCCCCCCAACUCCCUAGGUGUCAAUAGAGAGUUGGGUCAAUUCGAUAGAUCUGUUGCAGGAUGUGGUGAUUUCUCUCGAAAUGGAUACAAUCAAGUGAGAAUGGAAUGCCAAUGGAAUCUUCACAGUCAACAGCUGCUGCAGGGAUUGAACUUUAGCGCAAUCAUUUCUCGCCAGAUCAAAAUAAAUCUGGAGCAUUCCUCUACCAGAGAAUCAAAAUGCAUUGGUGUUCUGCUCUUCACAGAUUCCGAAUCCUGAGAAUUUUAAGGAAUUGGUUGGCUCGGGUGACUUGUCCCUUAUGCGAACAGGAGAAAGCACAGACCCUAUUCAAUGUCAGUUUGGUUGCAUUUUUGCCGGAUUCUUUAUAUAACUCAGCUCCCUGGUGGUGUUAAUGGUCUCUGGCAAGACUGCAAGGAGACUUAUCUAGGAAAAAAAAAUUUGCAGUUUGGAUGGAUGUCUUUGGCUUCAGCUGUAUGUUGGUUCGUGAGGUUAGAGAUAGAUGAAAGGAUUUUCUCCAGAGGAGAGCUGCGGAUCUUCUUGAAGCACCUACUUAGUUAGAGAGUGGACUACAUUUUCUUCUGCAAAGAUCAAAAGGAAGCUGAAUCCUUUGUUUCAACAUCUAAAUCUUUAGAGGAGGGAGAGUUUCUUCUUGUAAUGUUUUUAUUUCAAUUUGUGGUUUAAACUGUUAGUUCCUUACUCUGGAUUUUCUGUAACGCUUCUUUUGUUAUACUUUCAUUUGUUAAUGGAACUGAUCAGGCUGCCGCCUAAUCUUUCCCUCAAAAAGGCUUUUUUUUUUAUUGUUUUCUGUUAGCUCUCCAACUUUGUCUCACUUCAGUCUCAUACCACGCGGCAGCAUGAUGAUCGAGAUCUUUGCAAAAUUUCGUCCCAAAGAUUAUAAUCUCUAGACUAAGCAAAAGGCUUCUAUCUUAUUGGUUCCAGGUGGAACAGCAGGAUUUCAACCUGUCGUGUCCACGGAUGCUGGAGUCUCUUCUUGUUUCUGCUCAUUCUUUUUCUUAUCGUUAAAGCAGAAGGUAAGGUUGGUCAUGAUCAACUUUCUUCUUUUCUUCUCUUACCUUGUCGAGUGUCCACCAUUGCAUAUCCCACUAAGAGUUGCUCAUCCGCGCAAUUGAGCUGCAUCUGUGAGGUAAUGGGGUUUGCCCCACUAUGCUUGCCGACUUUUAGUCGCAGGUGAUAGAUCCCUUGCUUAGGGACUCUUGCUUCAUUCAAGGUCUAAAGGGACCCGGCCGAAAGUGGAAAAACGAAGAGGAAUGGCUUUUUGAGUAAAAAAGACUGUGAAAGCUGAAUUAUAGUGCCAUGUGUGAGAGCUUUCAUUGAAGCCGAUCUAUGUUAUCCCUCAAACCAUCUCCCUCCUCGAAGCAUGCACAAUAUAUUUUUUUUUCUUCGGUAGAACGGCAUGAGAACACAAUCCUAGUGUAAAUACAACCCGUAGCAUUAGAAUACAGCAAAUUCUUUAGUUUGUGAUGGUGAUCAAGAAGAAGGCCAUAGUUUGGAAUAUAGAUGAUUUGGCUGAAAAUUCUGUAAAAUUCUUAGGUUAGCACAAUACAACCAGCAAACUUGUAAGAUUAAAAGACUAGGCUUGAUCUCUAUUCACAGAUACUUAGAGUAGAUUUAAAGUCGAGCGGCCUAAAUUCUAUAGGGAGAAAAAAAACAAAGAUCUCUUGGAUGUAUUAGUUUAACCCAUAAAUUUUAUAGAAUUUUUAGCUCAAUUAUUCAAACAAGUCCUAAAUAAAAACUCGGCUCAUGGGCAUGCACAUUUGCUCGCCUCCAAGUAGAAAUUUGAAACCCUAAACCACCUCAUCUGACCACCCUUGUCAUCUCUACCUCGACGGGAAAGUCAAGCAACCAGACAGCGAACCAACAUAGCCAACAGAAAGUUACAAUGCUCACGACACGCAAAUUCUCGUACAUUUCCAUGUCAUAUUGCGUGGUGGGCAAAUUAGAACUUGGUUACAUUGACCAAGGCUGAAGGUUCAUGUGUGCAAAGUGGAUGGAUGCAUACAUAUGCCAACUUUGAGACUCUUUUCAGGUAAACAAACUAAUAGACAAUCAAGCUAAAAAGAGAUGCCUCCUAAUUGGACUCGAGAGUUCGCAUCAAUUUGUAAGAAGAAUCUCACCUUAUUUGCUCGCUUAAAAUGGGGACGCAGAAUAUGCGUACCCAGACUGAUGAAACCUCGCUAUUCUUUCCAACAACUAGUUUUAGAAGUGCGUUUGUGUCAAGAGGACAUGCCUACCGUCAAUAUCUUAUCAGAUGGUGGUCCCUACCGAGACUUGCUAAAUUUGGCAUAUAUACAGAUGGUUCCCAUGUCUGGUUCCAUGUGCAGGACGCAAUCUUUAAAUAGAUCUUGCUUUUUCUUCUUCCUGCUCCUCUUUCCAUCCUUCUUUAAGCAGUAAACCCAACAGCCCUUGGGAUUAGUCAAAAGAGCAAUAUUUUUUUUUCCUGCUGCUCGUUUCACCGCUCUUUAAGCAAGAAAACCAACCCCCCUUGGGAUUAGUCAAAAGAGAGUGUAUGGUCUAGCGAUUCCCAUCAAUCUAAACCUCUUCUUCCCGAAAAAGACCUUUCCCCAGAGUCAAUCCACAGUUUUAAUGAGAGAGACCUGUAUCCAAUCCUCCAAGAGCAACUUCUUGGAGCUAGCUAGAUGGGGGGGAGAAAUGAGGUCUUUUUAGCCUCUAGAGUCAAGGGAAUCCCUCACAUUGAGGAAGUUUAAAAGGUUUUCGAAAUCCUUCUAGCUUCGAGUCCGUCAAUCCUUGUCCCAAUAUCUUCUAAUUUCGUUGUGGAUAGCGACAUCCGCCGUUUGGAAUUUAGGGCUUAAGGUUUUGAACUUUGUAGAAGGAACGAAAAAGGAGGAAAGACGUCUUCUUUCACAAGAUCCAAGAAAUUAAGGCAGAAAAAUUGCAAGGAACGCCAUAGCUGAUGGAAAAAAAAUUCGUUCUUUAAUCAUUCCUGGAACCCUCGGAUGGAGAGUCCCGUCCUAGGGAUCUUUUGAGAUUUUGAUUUAGGUUUAGGGUAUUAGGGUUUCUAGAUUCUUAGCUUUCUCUGGACGGUGGUGAGGAUGGAGGAGAAUGCAGCUCUUCGCACUCUUCAGAGUUCUAUCGAAGCUUUGGGGAGGGGUUUUGAUGUUAACUACGACACGAGGUUGCUCUACUGCAAGGGGGUUGCCGGGUCGAGGCUCGUUGAGGUGGAUGAGGAGCACACGAGAGAUCUGGUGGUUUCCGACAGUCUGGUCGUGCCCAAUGUGUCGAGAGACGUGAGGUGCUCUUGGGAGAGCGGCCGGCGGGAGAGCGGCCGGCGGGAGAGCGCUGGCUCUUGCGGUUUCUACGAGGUGCGGUGUUAACUCUGCUUGACUUGUCUAAUUUUUUCCUUUCGUUGACUUGUCCUCGAUGUUAUCAUCCUUACGAAAUGCCACUGCAUCAUUAUUCAUGGAUUGAUGGUGGGAAGUAUGUACUUGUGAGCGAAUUUAGUCUAUAAAAAUUGUUAGGUUCAUUUGCAUGUGGUUGAAUCGGUUAUUUUUUCAGAAUACAGUGAUGCAAGUUGCAGAAAAUCUUACUCUCAGUUCUGUUAUGUAAGCAAUGUGAAUUAGAAGUGUAUAAUAAUCAUGAAGGAUUGGAAAAAGGAUUUGUAACUUCUAGAUAUUAUUUCAAGAAAUAUGGUUAACAUAGCACUGGAUUUGUGUGAAAUUACGUGCCUGUAUUUAGGGACCCUUUUGAGACCACCAGUAGCAUAUAUAGAAACACAAUCCACUUGGUCAUCGAUUUAAUUACACUUUAGCUGUAUGUCAAUUUUUUUGAAGUUUAAUGUGGAAGUGUUUGAAGAAUAAGCUAUGUACUGCUGCAUCAUAUGCAUUAUAUUGCUCGCGGGCCUUUUUAAUGUAACUAUGUUUAUAUCUCAGUCUGUUUGAGUCAUGUAAGGUCCUUAAACUAGUUUGAUUUAGUAGCAAUCAUAUUUUUAGAUUUAACAGUUGAACUUCUAUCGUUAAAGAGUGUGUUCUUGUGGGCAUAUAUGAUAACUAAGAAGAAAAGAACCAGGGACGUUUCGUGGUUCAUAGUCAAAAAGAGUAAUGAAAACAUGCAAGUUGUUGUACCAAGUGCAUGGUGUACGGCAGAUUUAUUCAAGGUAUCAUGCAGUAGGGGAGAAUGCACAGUCAACUCAAAGGCUGGUUCCUUUUCCAAGUGGAAGCAUCAUACAUCAGAGAUCAUAUAUGACUUUAUAAAGCACCAUGAUGAAAGAAGCUAGACUGAAAUAUUCAAACUUGUGAAAUUAUUCUAGAACAUGCAUUGUUAUUCUUAAUGACCAUAUUUUGCAGCGUAUGAUCAGAAUGAUAAUUACAAGUUAUUUUUGAAACUUAAACAUCGAAUCUAAAGAUGACCCAUUUGACUGAGCCAACCAAAACACAUGGUUCUGGGGAAAGGAAAAGAAAAGAAAAGAAAAAAAGCGUCCAUAAAGCUGCUUCAUAUUAAGGACAUAUCAAUUUGUGCUAUAGAUUAUUUGAAAUAUUCUCUAGAAUCUUGUCUCUGUCAUAGACACCUUGUCCGUACCAGUUCUGGUUGAUCGACAUGGUGGAAGGACAUAACUCUUUAUAGAAUUUCCUAUUUGGUACAUUAGCUUUGUAAAAUGACAAGGUAAGGACUGUAGACUGCAGCUAUGUAUUAGCUAAGCCACAUAUAUCAGACUAUUACUUGUUGACCUUUUUGAAGCUUUUCAGGUUUCCUCAUUGGAUUGUUAAUCCUUUUCGGGUUCAAUGGUUACUAUUCAACAAACAGGAUGAUGACCUCCUUCUCCGUGCCAUCAAAAGGACAUGACCACCUCAAAUAAUUCUAGGAAAUAGAUUUCCAUACCUUUAAAACCAGGAGAGGACUGCGAACAGAAGCAGGAUUUUGUCUUGAUUAGGGGAACAAUAAGUUUUAUGUUGCUUAGUGUUCAAAGCAUCAGAGGAUAGAGGGGGUGGGAGUACAGUUUGUGAAUGGGUUUCAAACGAAAAUUUACAAGCCUUCCUUCUAAGCUCAUAUCCAGAAGGAAUUAAAUGAGUCACCAAUUGGUCCUAAAAUAGAGAUAUUAAACCUGCUGAUCAUGUGAAUGGAUAUCCAUGUGUCCAAAACAAUAGAACCAAAACAAUACACAACUUGUUAAAAGCAUCUAUUCACCUUGACUUUGGAGAACUACUUAUUAUGGAUAUUGAUCAUGGAGGAGAAAGGAACACUAUCAAUGUAUCGCUUGUUUUGGUAGUCAGUUGUUUUGACCAUUGUUCAGAAUCUCCCAAUCCUCAUCCUCCCUCCUGGCCUUCCCUCUCGUCACUUCAUUCACAAGGAAUGCAUUUUCUAAUAUGACAUGUAGGCAGACAAUGAAGUAUUGUUACUUUAAUAUUUCCUGUUCUACUGUAACAAGGAAAGAGAGUUGCAAGUGCUUGUGGUUUGUAGAAGUUAUCAUCCUGGCUACAUUAUUUUUCCAAAAGUUAUGAUGUUUUUUGCUGUAUUUAUAUUAUAUGCUGAUUAUUGUCUUGUAUAAGAUGUGCUAUUUGCAUGCCGAUUAUCAUAGAUCGUCACUUAUGAUCCCCUCCCCAAUGAGUGAGUGCAGAUGGCAGAAUAUUUUAACAGAAAAGCUCAUCUACUGGGAAAUUUUCCCAUUGGAAGUUUUAAUUCUGCAUUCAGUUUUACUGGGUCAAAGAAAAUUGAUGCUGCAGCUACAAAAAGCCUCGCAAUGGAAGGGAUGUUCAUUCCUUUAUGUAAGGUUCACUUGAUAAAACGACCUUUAUCAUUAGAAGAAGAGGUCAGGCAUGCUGUGCCACUUUCAUGGGAACCAUUGUCCUUAGCGAGGUAAGCUAAAUAUACAUAAUCUGUGGUGAAAAAGAGCAAUAUUUUUACAACAAUGGAAGAUCUUCAGCGGUUAUGCUUGUUUGCAGAUUUAUUGAGAGUUAUGGGACUCAUGUCAUCACAUCCAUCACUAUUGGUGGAAAGGAUGUGAUUUAUGUCAAGCAGCACAGCUUGUCGCCCUUAUCAUCCAUAGAAAUAAAGAACUAUAUCCAGGACAUUGGAGACCAUAGAUUCUCAGAAACUGAAAGGUUUACAAGUUCGGGUCCAUUGAAACUGAAGGAUAAGGCUAGUGCUUUAUGUUUGUCUCUUGGAAACUGCUCAUUAACCUAUUAAUUAGCCUGUGUUGCCCAUUGGCUUAACAUAUUUGUAGUGGAUGGAUUUCCAGGCUGUAGAUUCUUUUGCGUUCAACAGUCAGGGAAUAUACCCGCAACCAUCCAAUGCUCCAUAUCUGACUGCAAAGGAGGUAAUACAAUUUAUUUAGGUGCCGUUUAGCAUCACUUUUAUUUGUUUAUUUUGAAUAGAAAAAUAGAUAUUUUAUUUUAUUUUUUUAAUUUUAAAAUAUAAAUAUGUUUUUAGUGGUCAAUUAUUUUUAAUAAUAUAAAUAUGAUGAUGGUGACCGAGGCGGCGGUAGUGGUGGCGGGGAUAAUGGCGGCGAUAGUGGUGGCGGGGAUAAGGGCGGCGAUAGUGGUGCUAGUACGUGCUAGCACUAUAGUGGCGGCACGGCAUGGCGUCGACAAAGAGAAUAAUGGUGGGGGCACCAACAAUGUGGUGACAGUGGCAAUAAUGGUGGUGGUGAUGUGGCAUAGACAUGGUAGAGGUUGUAGUGGUGAUAGUGAUGUAGUGGAGGUGGCGGCAACGAUGAUGGCGGCGGUGGAGAUGAUGGCGGUAGUGGCAGUGAAGAUGAUGGCGGUAGUGGCGGUGGUGAUGGCAAUGGCGGUGGUGGAGAUGACAACAGUAGUGGCGGCGGCGAUGGUGCUGAGAUGGAAAUAGUGGUGGUGGUGGUUCUCGUGGUAAAAGACAUGAGAUUUUUUGUUUUUGAAAAUAGUGAAAGUAAGAAUUUUUUACUUUCAUUUUUUUUUAGAAGUAAUAAAAAUGACUUUUGAGAGAUAGAAUAUAAACACAAUAGCAUCAAACAUGCUUUUUAUCUUGGUUUCAGUGAUUCUAUUUUAAAAAUAAAAAAAAAGAAAUAAAAGUGAUGCCAAGUAGGCCCUUACUUUAACAUUCAUAUUUUACAAUCGUUGUUCUAUCUCUCACUUACAUACACAUAUAGAGGCCACAAAUUGCUUCCAUUUUUGACAACAAUUAAAACUUCUUUAUCACCACAAAAGAGUUAUGACUGGUAAAUAAAUAAAAAAGGAAUGAAAUUAGCGAAUUAUGGAAAUUAUUUUUUUCUAUGAAGAUGACAUAUAUCACCAUCUUUCCUACAAUUAUAUGUUUGCAAUAUAAGACUAAUAUGGUGGUUGUCCUAGAUGAUAAUAUUAUUAUGAAUAAAAAUUGUAAUAUGUAAAUGGCAACCAAACCAAGCUGCUUAUUGUAUGACAUGUUUGUUUGAUAUAUGCACUAUAUGUAAAUUACAGACAUUUUAUUUAAUGAACAGUAUUCUAGUAUCCAUAAGCUGGCAGAUAUAUGGUUUUUCUUGAUUUAAUAUAUCUGUACUAUAUGAGGAAAACCUUUCCCCAUAAGAAAAAUUAUAUUAGCAUUGCAUAUCUUUGUUAAAUAUGUAUUAAACUAAUACGUUGUUAAUGUUUAUAACUCUUUUGGGAUGGGUACAAAAUAUCUUCUUCCAAAAUGUAUAUUGCUAUUGCAGAAGUGGUUAGAGGAAAAUGUCUUGUCAAAUGUUGGUUCUCUUCAUUUUGAUAACUAAAAUCAACUAGUAGUAGUGGUUGGACCUGCAAAAGGGGCUCCUUGUUAUUGAAAAUGAAUCUUUGAUCUCUCAAAGGGGGUCUCCUGUGUGGCCAUGCCCAUAAUAAUGGUUUUCAAAUCCACAAGCAUACUUCUGGUUCUUCCCUUGCUUGGAAUUCUUGAAAGAAACCAGCAGUGGCAUUACAUUGCAAAGUUCUUAUAAGAGGUGGAUCAGCCACCUCCAAGAGAAGGAUAGCUACAUAGCAAUUGCCCGAAUCCGAAGAUUAUCACCAGCUAAGUGACCUUGGACCACCGAGAAACAUGCAUUUUGGAAAUAUGCUACAUAGCUGUUAUUGCAUGCUCAUUUGUAACUUAUCACUGCUCAAGGUGGCACGUGUGUGCGACCAAUGAAUUCCUAUAGCGUAAUCACUUGUCACAAAUGUGAUGCUUGCAGCUUUGUCCUAAUUUGACAUGAGUGAUACCAUAAUCAAGCUUGUGCUGACACUAUGAUGGCCACAAGCAGACAGGAGCCUAUGUGUAAGGCCCAUGGCCAGACCUUAAUCUUCACCUGUCAUGCUUAUGAAUAAUCCUGAACAGCAAUGUGCCACAUGUGAUGAUUGACUUGAUUCGAAAUUGAUUUGAUUUAAGAAAUGCAUGAUUGGUUUGAUGGAGUGCUACCAAGAAAGAAGUUUUGAAUACCUCACCAUGUGUUUUGGAACUAAGCUGUUGAUCAAGGACACAUCACACCAUGCAAGUUUGCCAAUGAAGUUUGAUAUUUUCUUUCUCCAAAUAUUGAACCUUAAAAUAUUAUAUUAGCUCAUAUAAUACCACAUUUAUAACAUUAUCAUAUAAUUGGCCUCAAUGUUUGAAAAUUUAGUUUCAGUUUUGGCUAUGCAAAAGGAGUUUUACUAACAAUUUCUGCAAUCUCAACUGGAAAAAUAAUUGUAGUGAUAAAAAUAAAAAUAAUUAUAUCUCAUCAAGUUUUUUAGCUUUUUCUAGAAGAUUUCUAUUAGAGAUGUCUAUUUUAGAAAAAAGAGUCUCACUAGGUUUAGGAACAGGAAUCCGACCCAAAUUGUGUUGACGGACCUCAUAUUAUAAAUAGAGGCCAUGUACCUCAUUUUUUUAAUCAUUAAUGAAAGAAAAGGGAAUUUAAAGCCCUACUUUCGAGAUUUCUCCAUUUUCUUCUAGUUAUUUUUUCGAGAGAUUCGAGUUGAAUUGGUUGAAGAAAAUCUUUCUUCUCCCGAUCGGAUCAAUAAAUACUAAAAAAAAUUUUAAUUAAAUGGCGAACGCAGUUAUUCACACUUUCUCUGCAUGCAUUGUAUUUAGCAGACAUUAGUAUACAUGAUUUGAAUUUGGCCCUCCUAGUAAAUUACUGUCAAUUUUGGCUAAGAUUAGCCCAAACCACCAGAGCUGACCUAAAUUAAUUUGUCAGUUUCAGCAGAAACCUAAAACUAAUUGCUCUUAUUUUUAUUAUCAUCAGUCUAGCUAGUCAAAUGGUCUUUUGUUUAAUGUGGAUGGAAUAUUCAUCAUUAUGCUUAUUCUUCAUGAGCUUAAUGGUAACAUAAAGGUGUGCUGGAAAAAAACUUGUGGCUUACAUCUAAUCCCUGGCAGUUUUAAAGUGUCGAGGUAUGCUCUAAUGUUUGCGCCUCCAUUUUUCUCAUGCAAUUGUUGAUGCAGGAUGUUACUGUCAUUUUCAGAAGAAGGGGUGGAGAUGAUCUAGUCCAAAGCUACACUAACUGGGCAAGAACUGUCUAUUCGGCUCCUGAUGUUAUUGAAAUAACCUUCUUUCCAAUCAUUUCUCUCCUUGAAAGCAUCCCAGGAAAGGACCAUCUCACGCGUGCUAUCAACCUUUAUCUGGAAUGUAUAUCUCACCCUUACACUUUUUUGUUUCUUUUUAAAUUACUCCUCAUGGGAUCCUUGUAUGCCUAACCUGAAAAUAUUCUCUGUUUUCAUUUGUAGAUAAGCCUCCACUAGAAGAGCUACGAUAUUUUCUGGAGUUUCAGGUCCCCAGGAUAUGGGCCCCAAUUCGCGACGAACUUCCAGGACAUCAAAGAAAAGAGCCAGUCUGCCCAUAUUUGCAGUUCAGCAUUAUGGGGCCGAAGCUUCAUGUCAGCCAAGAGCAGGUGUGCUUCUCAUGCAGCACAUAGAAUUGAAUAGAGCCAUUAGAAACAUCGGGUCGAUACUAGCUUCUACUAUUGAAUGUGAAACUCCAUCUUUCCCUUAAUGAUAUGUAAAUGCUAUGCAUGAGCAUGCAAAUAAUAUUUGAAUUUCAUACCCAAUUGAUCAGUAAUAACUUCUAUUAGAAAGUGUCAUUUGAAAUCAAUAAAGCUCUGGUUCUUGAUGAAAUGGACUAGAGCAAAUGUUCUAUAUCAUUGCAUAUUUUAUUUGUCAAGUUGAUUGUUAAUGAGCAGUCCUUGGCAUUGUACCUGCUUUGAAACUAUGAUCGCAUUGUGAUACAUUACUUAUUCUAAUAUGCUGCCAGUCUAUGCCAUGCUAUCUUUGUGUUUGUUAAGCCAGUCAAGAAGAUUGGCAUACCUUCUUUAGAUGGCAUCUACUUGCAAGUCAGAAAUGUAUCAGAAGGAUCAUUUGCCAUCAUCAUCUCCCAACAUUCAGUAACUGUAAAUUCUGAGUCAUAUAAUUUCUAUCAGUAAUCGGUGUAUCUGAAUUAUUGACCAUAUGAAUCUAUUUAAUAUAGAAAGGGUCUUGGGCAUGUUGUCGCGAAUAAUUUUUCAUGGCAGUAGGUACCCUUUCUUUGUGAAGUUUCAACGAUAUUUCCUUUUGCUUUCCUCCUAGUCCACUUAUACCCCAAGCCAAUGCUAAUUUAAAAUUUUUUACCAUACAGAGAGGACGUGGUGUCAUAAUUUUGUUUUGGCAAUAAACAUUCUUUUUAAUCCAUUUUUUCCCUGUGAUGCCAUUUGAAUAACCAUGCAGGUGUCAGUUGGGCGUAAGCCUGUCACUGGCCUAAGAUUGUGCCUGGAAGGAGCCAAGCAGAACCGGCUACAUAUUCAGGUCCAGCACUUGGCAUCUCUUCCAAAGAUCCUUCAACCUUACUGGGGCACCCAUGUAGCCAUUGGUGCGGCGAAGUGGCAGGGACCUGAGGAGCAAGAUAGCCGGUGGUUUGAGCAUGUGAAGUGGAAGAACUUCUCUCAUGUCUGUACAGCGCCAAUUGAGGAUGACGAGACUUUUCUUGGUGACAUCUCUGGUGCGUAUAUAGUCACUGGAGCUCAGCUUGGAGUCUGGGACUUUGGAACAAAGAAUGUGUUGUACAUGAAACUUCUUUAUUGUAAGGUGCCUGGAUGCACCAUAAGAAGAUCCCUGUGGGAUCACAACCCUGCUGGUCCAAACAACAAAUCAAGGAGACUGUCCGUGGGAGAUUCUACAGACUCAGUUGACUCAAGUUCAGGCUCGAGAGAUUUGAGGAAACUGAUGAAGCUUGUGGAGACGUCGGAGAUGUGCAAAGGCCCAGAAGAAAUACCAGGGCACUGGUUGGUGACUGGUGGGAAGCUUGGAGUUGAGAAAGGGAAGAUUAUAUUGAGAGUGAAGUACUCUCUGUUGAGUUACUAAAAUCAGUUGUUUCAGUUGCAAGGAUCGGGUCUGUUGUGCAUGUAAAUUAUGGUAGUUUGCUGGGGGUUAAGUUAGUGAGAUGAGGAUUUGGAUUUUGUUCAGUGGUGUUUUUCGUAUUCUUUGCACUUCAUCAAAUUUUACAGCACUGAUGAUGCUGAAGUUUGAAGAAGUGCUUUAUGGCUAAGCAACUUGCUGUAGAAUGUUAGUUGUGGUAGAACCCAAAGGAGAGAAGACCAGGAUGCCUGAGCACUGUUGUAGAAGAGGGAAGAGAUGUAUAUCCCUGACAUGGCUCAAAAUUAUCUCUUACCUUCCCAACUUCGGACCCAAAUUGGUCCCCUGUUGUGAAAGUCUUAAUUUAAUGCUUCAUCUUGCAUGGAUGGUGGUUUCUGCAAGAUUUCAAUUUUGGGUCUUAUGAAAAGAUCACUCUAAUGUGCAGUCCUGAUUCAUGCAUUCUUUUUAUUUAACUUUUUUUUAAAAUUUGAUUUGCUAUUUUCUUGAGUUUACCUAUAGCUGUCAUUGGAAGAAAUGAUUUACUCGAGGCGAUCUUAUCUACCUUCAGGUGCUUCAGAACUGCUUGGAGGUCAAGGCAUGAGGCUAUACAACAAGUAUAAAAAUUACAUGGAGAGGCCUUGUUAAGGCAUGCUCCUUGCAUCUUGCAUUUGAGCAUUUGGCUUCUAUGACUGCUCUCUUAAUUUAUGGAAGCGUAAGUUUAUAUUGAAUUGCUUUUGCAUGAUGUUGAUGUGCGUGGAUUUCAAUGCCAAACUUAAGAAUGGAAGGUAAUAACUCCGCUUGGUGUCGUCAAGCCAAAGCAUAUUUUUGGGGGGAUAAUGUGGAGAUAUUUUUUUUAUAGAUUAAUACAUGAAUAUCACUUAGGUUAAUUCAUAACACCCAGCACGGUUCAAUUUAUAAGGCAGUAUUAUAACUAUUUAUUUCAUGAAACAUGUAAGUUAUAACAACUCCAAUUCUUCCUUCUCUACCUGCUUAUGGUUUCAUUUACUUCUAGAUUUAUGCUUAAUGUUGCUUCGCAUCCUCAGUGUCAAGAGAGCAUUUAAAUGUCUGCUAUGCAUAACCCAGAACCAAGAAGUUUAAACCAGACUCCUAAUCUCUUGGCCUUCAACGAUUCCAAACCCCAGCGUUCGUGCUCAAGUUGAAUUCAUCGACUCUACCAUAUAAACACGACAAAGGAAAAGUGAAAAAAUAAGAUGUCACAUGAAAAGAUUUGCUUACUAAUGAUGACAACAAGAACCAGGAUUUUGUUGGGGAUAGCGGGGCAUGUUUCAAAUACCCCGCCCCUCAACCUCUUAUCUUCUUUAAUACUUAAAUUAGAGUUUAUUUUAGUAGUCGUACUCCUGUGCCUGAAGUUAACUUUCGAAGGACAGAAUCUAGUGUGUGUGGGUCUUCAUCUCUCUCUCCCAGAAAAAUUGAGAGAGAAAAAAAAAACUUAUAUGUAAAAAAGAGGAGAAUUGUAUGACAUCCAUUUUUUUUAAAAAAAAAAACUCGACACGCUUGCAUCUUUGGUCGGUGAUAACUGUGGGCUGCCCUGAUAAAGUUAUUCCCAUAGAUGAAAAAAAGCCACGAGCUCAACUAAAAUUUGACGUUGGUCCUCCUUGUAAUAAAUUGUGCGAGAAGAGUCAAACGAUAUGUCUACAGAACACUUUAUUACCCAUAUGCGGGCUAAAAUAGCAUUCUCACAAGCAUCUCAAAAGUACAGCAGCAGCCUAAUCCCCACAGAAUGCAAUGAAGACCCGGGGCUACCCCACAAAGAAGCCCACCUAACUUCCCUAUCCCUACAAUCCCAGGCCUCGGACAACCAGUCUAACAGAGCAAGACACUGAAAACAAUCUUUCAUCUAUCUAUAUCUAUCCAUAUCGAUUAAGCCUUUGCGGGUGCUUAAUGAUUGCAACCUCUGCAUUAGCCAAACCUCUCUCCAUACAAGACGCUCCUUUUAAUAUCUCCUUUAAUCCAAUAUUAACCAAUACAAAUACUGCAAGAUAUCGAUAAUAUUAGGCUUGGAAGCCUUGUUCUGCUUAGAAAUUAGAAUUGUCCCCCUUGGAAGGUCUGCCCGAAUUGCCACCCGGCAGGCACGGCGUCGUAGCUUGUGACGGUCCUCCCGUCGCUUGUGGUGACUUGGAAGGAGAGGCUCUGUCCGCCAAGGUAAGCAUUGCUCUGCCAGUUCUGGCCCCAGUUCCGGGACAUCGCCUGCCAGCCGGUCUUGGAUCCCUUGAUGGACACAGCAUGCACGUCGCCAGCACCCGCGACGUUGGUGAUCAAGACCAAAUUGAAGUAGGAGUGACCGUUGACGGUGAACCUAACUCCCCCCUUCUUCACACAUGGCACCCUGCACAUUGACACGUUAUUUAGCGGACCAUGGAUACAUUACAUGAGAAUGGCGAAAGUAGAAAAUGCCAAGAUGGUACAAGUAUGUAGUGAUCGAGCCUCCGAGCCCACCACCAGAUCAUGACCAGAUUUGGUCCUGACACAAACCCACAAACUAAGACUAAUUGUCGAGUUAGAGUUAGAACUGCAAAUGGGUUGGGUUGACCUGACCCGAUUCGGAUUUUAGGAUCUGCAGGGCCGGAUCAUGUCCUAAAUUUGGACUUAUUCUAUUUUUCGGAUCAGGUUGGGUCCACCCAAUCUCGACCCAGACCUGGAUCCGACACGACCCAUUUUUUUGGGUCAGAUUUUUGUUUUAAACCAUCGGAAGUUAGAGAGUGACAACAUCAUUUGGGCCUACUUUUUGGAUCGGAUCUGAAUUAUACAUGGACCUGAUCGGAUCCGAAUUACCCGUCAGAUCAAAAUUUGUAGGCAUGGAUCCGAUCUGAUCCAAUUCGAUUUUCAAUCGGAUCGGAUCUGAGUCCAAAAUUAGAAUCCAAAUGAAAAACUGGGUCAAAUUGAGGUCAUUCAGGAUCCGACCCAUUUGCAGCCGAGUCGAGGAUGCAUUUGCUUGAGGGCGAAGUGGGACAAGGGUCUUACCUUCUGAAGGAGACGGGCACGAUCCCAGCGCGGUACUGAGCGAUCUGGAGGAAGGCAGGCUCGGCCAGGUCAAAAUGCUGGAGGGGAGGGUUGCACCACCCGCCGUUGUCGUUGGAGAGGGCGUAGUUUGGAGGGCAGAAGUUGGUGGCGGUGACCACAAUGGUCCCAGGGAGGCACCACGUGGGGUCGUCGGCGCACUUCAUCUCGUAGCAUGCGCCGCAGCUGAGGCCAUUGUUGAAGAGCGCCGUGCUGAGCGCGGCGGUGUUCGUGCCGUAACCUUGGCUGUAGAGGUUGCCGUAGCCGCAAGCCCCUCCUACAAGGACAUACCAACAUCUCCAUUAAUGGAAACGAACGAGAACUAUGGACGUUGUUAGUGCAAUUAAUUAUGGAGGCGUAAUUAAUUACCCAUUGUUCCUGACGCAUCGCCACCACCGUAGAACGUGGCAUGCGCGGUCUGCCAGCCAGAAUCCCCGAAGGUUCUGCGCACGAGGAGGGAGGAGGAGGAGGAGAAGAGGAGGAAGAGAGCAAUGGAGAGGGAGCUCCUCGGGAUUGCCAUUGGAGAGGCUCUGAAGGAAUGGAGCUAAGAGAAAGAGAAAGGAAAGAUGGGGUUUAUAAGGGUGUUUGGUUUACUUGUAAAGGGAAGGGGGGUGAGGGGGCUUGUAUUUAUAGGACAAGAGUGGGUUGGAGGGGCGUUUCAUAAAUUUCUCUGUAAAGGGAGACAGUUCUGGCGGUUCUCACGUCCGAGCAGAGCAGAGCAAAGCCCCGAAACCGACGACAGAAAAUAACAAAUCCGACGCACAUGCAGCUGCGCCUGUUGAAGGCCAGCUGGUGAGGCCAUGGGCCCCUCGGCUGCGACCGUCGACCCUCCUCGUGUCACCUUCCAAACUGCGCCACAUGUAUUUGAUGCACAUAUUAGAUUAACCAAUGUAAUGUUGCCAUCUUUACAAUUAAUCGGACACCCAUAUGCAGGUUAUUUUCUUCCGUCUCUCCUUCUUUUCCCUUUUUUUCCCUCCCACUCGCAAGUCAUUAGAACACGAAAACAAAAGCCAAACCGAUGACUACUUGUCUGAGCAGGCGGGCAUAUAUUUACUUCUAUAUUAGCUACAAAUAGUAUUAGAGAAGAUCUUGCUCAUGACUUAUAGGGACUAGGGGAUACUGUAACACAAGCUCAUUAGAGCUGAUUAUAGGUUUAUUGUGGUGUUUGUGAUUAAAUUUGAAUAGAUUUGAACUUUUAGCCUGGCGAAAACAUAAAGACUUAAACAAAAAAUAUGUAAGGAUCCUUACGAGCAUGUAUAUAAUUCCACAUCGGCUAUGUACUGAGUAGAUCUUUGGUACUUAUGUAGGACCAAAAAAUUUAAAUAACACAUUUCGGAUAGCUUUUUUAAAUGAGAUUCUAGAUUAAUGUAUAUAAUUAGCCACAUAUAUCAUCAUUUAAUCUCCAGCACUAAUAGCUUUUUUAUACAUAUAUCACCUUAUAUGAAUGUAUAGAAGCUUCUAUUCUCCCACAAUCACGUAAAAGUUUGAUUCAAUCACCCACCAUCGUUUGCUCAUCAAUGCACUCACCGAAGAAUGGCCGAUGCAUGAGUUGUAGGAGGUGAUCGUCCAGCUGGAAAACAAAUCCCAGUGUACCUUGACUCUUAUCAGUCAAAACCCCUUGUAAUGCAAUUUGUCUGGUUUUAUUUAGGUCCUUUCAGAUGUUAACAUCUCGUAUUAUCUAUAUUGAUUAAUUAGGAUCCUAUGCUCGGGAGUUGGGAUGCUCGUUGAUGGAAGUAUUUCAGCAACCUCACCUCGUCUUGUGACUAGUCCAUCUCAGAUACAGCAGUUACAGUACAAGUGUAGCACGACAAAAAUCACACGGGAGUUUCAACCACUGUGAGUAGCUGGGCCCGAAAGAAUUUGAGCAGUUAUGGAGGAGUUUAUCCCCUACUCCGUGACAUUUGAGAGAUGGCGAGGGAGAGUGUCACAUUCCAGGCCAUGCAUGUAUAUCGUGAGGACUAUAGGGCGGCUGACUGGGUGGUGGCAUACAUUGCGAGCCACUCGGAAGGUACCCUAUGGAGUGGUGAGAGAGAGAGAUGCCUGGAGUACUUUGGGACCUUUUGUUUUCCGAUUCUAUUGGGUGUUUUCGUACCCGUGAUGUAUGAAAUGCCCAUUUUAGCCAAAAAAAAAAAAUCACAUGGGAUUGCACAAAUGAAUGCAUAUAUCUACGUCUAUGUCUACUUAGAUGAAUAUAUCAAAAAUUUACAUAAAUUCUUUGAGGAAUAAAUCUAUGGAUCGAAUCGAUAAGCGGCAUUAACAUAUAUCGGACAGGUCUAUAAACCUCAUGUUAUCUCAAUUAACAUCUCGAUUAACAAUAGGAUGCCAAUGUUUUGGGACACCCAAUCUGCAUAGGCAGCGAAAUUUCACGGCACUUUUUACUGCACACGAGAGUGGAAGAAAUAAUCCAUUAAGUUUCACAAAUGUAAUUCUACGCAACUAAAUUCUUUUAGAGUUUUCAAUUUGGAAAUUCUCUCAUAAGCUCUAAUAACCUAAUGAAUUCCACCGUUUUAGCUUCAUAUUCCUUCUCUCUCUCUCUCUCUUUUUUUUUGUACAACAUCGGCUCAUAUCCUAUAGAUGUGGAUACGGCCAACAAAAUCAGAAAACAACAGAACAAAUAAAGAAUCCAGCACUAUGCCGUCUCCCAUUCAUAUGAAGCCUCCAGAAUGAUGAGUCGCAUAGGAGGCAAUUCAAUCAGCUACUCCAUUUACUUUUUUGUAGAUGUGUAUAGUUUGAUAGAAGCCACACUCCUGCACCUGCAGUAGUCUACGAAUGUUAAAGAACAGCGGCCUACUCUCGCCAUAGGAGGCAACACCACUCUUUUAACCUUUCAUUUAGAAAAGCUUUGGGUUUAUCUGCUGGAAAUAGUACGAGUUAGACUGGUCUUCGUUUAUGGGUUGUGUUCAUACGAAGGAGUGGUUAAUUUAGUGGGAGAGAAACGUGACGUUGGUCAACAGAACGGGAUGACUUGUAUCCACCGCGUGACGCGGGCCACCGUGAACUCCGCGUGAUAACAGUGGGGGGGAGAUUGGCCGCCAGCCUCUUCACAUGACCUCAAAUUAAUUAAAUGUGAGCUCUACCCUUGAUUAUUCCUACUUUAGGGCUUCUUUCUUGUCUCUAUUGGUCUCUUUUCUCCACAAGAUUUAUGGGGGCAGAAAAUCCCUAAUGCUGUAUUUCAUCAAAAAAGAAAUGAAAAAAAAUGGCUAAUCCUAUAGCACGUGAUAAUUUUCCCCUCUAUUUACACUUGAAAAGGUUAUUAUAAAUUCCCACUUAUUUUAAUCAAAAAACAAAGCAUUGAUUAAUCAAGAAUUAUGUGAACAUGUCACCAUGAAUGAAUUAUACAACCAAGAUUUGUUGCAUUUUACGAGCCAUUAUUAAGCUAGAAAACAUUUGUUGCUUCGACUGAAAAUGUGCAAGGAAAUGAUUGAUUUGGAAAAUUUAAAGAAUAUUAUAAUUUUUUCAAAAUAAUAGAUAAUUAGGAGAUCAAGAUUUAUAAAUGAUAUCAACGAUCGACAGAAUCAAAUUUCUCCCUCAACAAUUUUAUCCAUUUGUGUACCGCCUGAGUUUGAUGAGAUGCAUAAGUGAGACCGAUGGAAAACAGAUUAAUGCAGUAUAACAUCAUCUAUUGAGUAAUUUAUAAGUAAAACCAUACCGCAAAUCCUCCGAGCUAUUGUCAAACGAGGACUAGGACUUUGUGCAUUACAGAAAUUUAGACCAGCAACCAGGGCAUCCUCUUCGAGCUUAAGAGCACCUGGCCUUCGCAGCCAAACACAAAUCAUAGUCUGGUAUAGUUUGCCUUUAGAAGCACUGUAAUUUCUUGCAUGAAAUAUGAUAAUUGACUUGGAACAAGACAAUAGGGGAAGCCAUGCGUCAAGCACUUCAAUUAGAUUAUAUUAUAUUAAUUCUGAUGAUGGAACAUCCUUCAGAUUCUAAACCGGAUCUUGUAGUCUCCUCUGUGUCGUUAGUUGAAGGAUUUUGUGCAAUAAAGUCGGAGCGGUCCCAGAUUUUGCGCGAGCGAUUGAGGACAGGCUAACAGAUGUCCUGUGCGUUGAAAGUUAUGGAUUAAUUGUUUUAGCCUUGUUUUAAUUGUUUUAGCUGCAAGAGUAAUUUCACCAUGUAGAUUAAUUGUUUUAGCCUUGAUUCAUGUUAUAUGACUCUCAUUAUGUGUACAAAAAAUCGAAGCAACUCCGAAAAUUGGAACCAUAAAUUGAAAGAAAAAAAUCAUUAAUAGUUAGUUGUCUCAGUAGUACUCUAAGAACUUUCCAGCUUGGUUGACAUCGAAUGUAUAUUGACAUUUAAAAUCAAAAGCCAAAAAAAUCUAAUGUACGUGCCCUUUGCUUGUGCCACUUAUCCCAUCUUUGAGGAAUAACGCUUUAUCUAUAACAUGGAAAUCUAAUCUCUGGAACUUAGGAGAUAAAAUAAGUAGCAGUCGAUAGCUCGUAUUUAAUUGAACACAAGUUGGCAAUUUGAACCGAUACAUAGAUAGUCGUGCAUGCGUCAUUCCGGGUGGCACCGACUGCUUUGUUGUUCCUUCGCAUGAUUUGCUCAGGUAAACAUAUAAUAGCUUCUCACUUUAACGAGUACGUUUCCUGAACGGUGGGUGGUACAAUUUUUGGAGAAUCUAAGGUUCAUAUUUCAGUAAACGCGAAUUUAUUAGUUACAUUCAAUCCCACACGUUGGCCACGCCUAACCAUGUCCUGUGUCAAGACUUUGACUUGGUUAUGCUCUGCUUCUUGUCUUCCCGCCCUUGGUCGGAAACAUCAUAGAUUUGGAUUCAAUGAAACAACUCCAAAGACAACGUUUGGGGACCAUCAACUCGUACAAGUCACCCAAACAAAGCGUUAAAUGGAUAAAUUAAGCCAUAUAUCUCUCAACAUCAUUUCCAAUUUACAUGUUGAGGCCUUUAUUUUUGUCAUAGCAGCUGUAAAUUUACAAAUUUUAUUCUUUUUUUCUCAAACAAUUUUCAGAAAAAAAAAGGUGAGUUUUUUCCACAAUUUUUAUACAUGGGGUGGCAAGAGAUAAGACCUGCGACCACAGAUGAGAUCUCAAUAUCAGGGAACUAAAUCCCUCUGGGAAUUCUCCCACAAGACAUGUGGGUUUUAUCCAUGAACACUCUCAAGCACUGUGGCCCAUUGGAAAGUCCCUGUGGUGCUUCCCGGAAGAGAGAGUUGUGAUCUCUACUAGCUUUUUCUAAGGGUGGUCCGAGGACAGGGCAAGCGUCAGCAAGGCAUUAUCUUGCCCCCACCAUGUGCACCAAAUCAUCCGGCGGUGCAUCACACCAAUCUCAUUCCCAAUGAAAAGUUCCUCUGUUCCAAUGAAAACUUUUGAGAAAAGGUUCCCAAUGCAGGAUACAAUUCUUCGAUAUUGUCAAAUAAUGAGGACGGUGAUUCUGUUUAUAGAGAGAAAGAAGAUGCUUCGACGAUGAUGUCAAGUUGAUGGAGGGAGGCCGCCGCCAUGAGUUAAAGAGUACGGUUGUUGAAUAAGAGGAGAGGCGUACAGACUACAGAGCAUUACAAAUUGAAAUGCUCUUCCUCUUCUUUGACUUCAAUUACAGCACUUACUGCAAUGGCACUUCUCUUUUGAUCUAGGUUACUACUGCCUGUCUUUAAAAUAGUUAUCUUGGAGGUCCAUGAACAAGCAAACAGUCUGUAUUAACUAGGAAAAAGGAUGGUGUGGAUUUCAUGAAAGCACCAUAGUGAAACGAUUUUUUUUAAUUUUUUAUUCUAAAUUCUUAUUCCUCUCUACUGAUUAAGUUCUUUUGCGCAGAACUUGUGGCCAUGCAUGUAAGUGUCUUUUAGCAUCCCCGAACUCUUGAGGAAUCUAUCAAUGAGCAGAGACGCUGGCCAACAAGUGGUGAAAGAAAGAAGUGCUUAGUUUGUUUCUUUUUCAAUUAUAUUUUCAUAAGAUGCUUGUUUCCCACUAAAAAAGAACGCGUCCAAAAUAGGCGAAACUUGAAAGAGACGGGUUAGGUUCGGUUUGGAAGCACAUCUGCCACGCGUGAACACUAGCUAGUGACAAUGUGCACAAAUAGUUUUGGGUGGGUUAACGUUGGUCCAGCACCUAAACUCAGCAGGAUAUGCAAUGGGAUGCAACCGGGGGAGAAGCCUUUCGAGCAAAGUCAUCAAGUCAAGCUUGAGCUGGCCAAAUUGUAAGUAUUAGCAGCAUGCCGGAUUUCAAUUCAAGUUUGAGGUCUACUCACUAUAGUUUGAAGCCAAACUCUUAAGCUCAAGCUCAGCUUGAUGGUGUUAUGGAGCAGCACUUCUUGAGCCGAACUUUAGCUACUCACUAAUGGCAUAUGAAAGAGGUCGGAGCUAGUAGUUCCACUAGAAACUUAUAUAUUGAUCAAGCCAAACAAGAGCAAGUUAGGCCAUUUUCAGACAUGGUUGCAGAACCAUUUCCAGCUCAAAGUACCAAAUUCUGGCUCAGCUCAUUUACAAAUCGAACGAGGGAAUGAUCCAAGCUGCCCACAAACAACUCCCUCGACAGAAGGCCCUGUCACACAUAUAGAUAGCAGGGUAUUGUCGAGUCCAGUCCAAUGAAGGAUUGCAGACUUGGACUGCAGGUGAAACGAGCCAAAAUCAACAAAACAUUGGGUUCAAAUGUAGUCUGGGUGGGCCCCAAUUAAGCUUUCGAAUGAUCCAUAAAAACACACAUCUUCCCUCAAAACCUUUAAUCUACGACAAGAGAAAAGCCGAAGAGGUCUAUUACAGCUGAAAGAUGCUGGAAGCUGAAAUUGAAAUACAAUAAUUAUAUAUGUAAAUAUAUUGAUAUGUUAGUCUCUUUUUUUAGCACAGUUUCAAAAUAUUUUUUUUUCAUCAAAUUUCUGGUAAUUCGACAAAAUACUCUGGAUUGUGCGACUAAUGACUUAUUUGAUUAAUCUCUAUUAUUUAGUAAUAGUUGUGAUUCUUUUAUAAUUAUUAUAACGUAAAUUGAUCGGAUGAAUAGUUGACUUCCUCUCUCUUCUUUUAGAAGAUUUGAAUUUUAAUAACAUAAAAAUGAAAGCUGUAGUUUGGAUAAAUAGCAAUAAAUCAAAUUAGUUAUUAGAAGAAGAAUGGAUUAUUUUGUGCCAAUUACCAGAAGUUAGGUAGCUUUUCUCAAAUAAAAAAGGACAUUUUUAGGAUUGAGCUGGAAAAUGAGGAGCAAUGACGAAUCAAUUACCAAUGUGCCAAAGCUCACUGACCAAAUCUAAUAAUAAACAUCGCAAUUAACUGGUGCUCAGUCCUAAAAAAUCUAUUUUACUGUAUCUCCUGGUCUACAUGAUCUAUGAAUCAUGUCCACUCGGAUAUCAUUUCUCAUAAACCAAGAUCUUGUUCAAAAAAAUCUAACCAAAAGUAAUUUUUGGAUAGCUUGAUGUUGUAUAAGUAUCUUAAGAUCUUCCUAGUGCAAAGAAAAAUGGAACUAAAUAUACUUGAAAAAAAAGAGAAAAGACUCUUCUUUGGCCAUGUUUCUAAUCAUUCUAUCUGUUACAUAACCCAAAGCUUAAGCAACAAACUGAAUAGAAUUAAAAAAAUGACGAGGACUUGUUCUAGCGAUCAUCUUUCUUCCAAGCAAAUAUCGAAACAAAUCAAAUAUUUUGGAUAUGCAUUUCUUUUUUCCUGAAUAAACUUUGAAUAACUUAUAAAUCAUAGAAAACAGUUUGGGCAAUUUACGUAGGACGGAGGACAAGCCUCCUAAAAGACGUCCACAUUUGCACAACCCCAAAUAGUCGGCCCAAACGUAUAGGACAUUGUUAGCCCAAGACCAUUUGUGGCAAGCCAGGCUGGUUGCCUAUGGCUGAAUGCAUGUCUGAUUAUAUCCGGUCGUACCUCUUUUUGCAUGGAAUUCGGGUCGGAUUUGAAUACUAUUUUUUUGCUCUGGGGAUCCAAAUACAAAUUUGGAUAGUCAAUUUAAAAAUCUCUCGGAUACAAAUACACUUGAUUUUUUCGAAUUCCAAUCCAAAUUUAGAUCGAGAUAUCUAUAUAAUAAGGAUAAAUGAAAAGAGAAGAAGUUUAAGUUAAAUUAAAUCAGAAAAUAAAUUAAGUAAUUAACUAAAUCUAAACUAAAAGGAAUGUAGAUAUUACAUGGCUGCCUCUUAAGACAGUAACUAGAAUACGAUUUACCUGAUUCGAAUAAAAUCUUUCAAACCAUUCCGCAUGCUUGAAAGGCUAAAACUUCUUAUUUGUCCAUUUCGUCCCUCAUUUUUCACCAUCUUCAAGCAAUUAGAGUUUCGAAGAUUCCAUUUACUUCUUAGUUUCUAUCCAACGGUUGCAACCGAUGACAGCCAUGAGACGCCUUUGAAGCGCCAUAGAUCUCAUCUACUUCGGUGACGAGCAACGUUGAGCGGUAUAUUCUCUAUAAAAUUAUUAGUUUUCACUAUUAAUAAAUACUUAUUAAAAUUAUAUUUUUUUAAUUGAUUUUUUUAAUAAUCAUAUGUUUAUUUCUAGUUUUUAUCAUUGAAUUUUGCUCUACUUUGAUUAAUAUCCGAAAAAUAUCUGAUUUAUAUCUAUACUCGAAUAAAAAAAUAUAGAUAUAUUUAAUAUCCAAAUCACAUCUAUAUCCGUUUAUAACAAGUAUAAAUAUACUUAAUAUUUGAUUCGUAUUUGUAUCUAUUUAGAAUAAAUAUAAAUAUUAAUUUUAAUAUCUAUUUAAUAUCUAUAUCUUUAACUAUAUUUAUUUAAAAAAUAAAUAUAAAUAUGAAUAUAUUAAUACCUAAUGUAAAUCCCAUCCUUUUUCACCCCCAUCGUGGACUCGCAAAGCCAUCGAGAAAACGACACGUCGUCGCUAAUAUACUUGAUUUAUAAUUAAGAAUACUAAAGUAAUAACCGGAAGAAAUACUGUAGUUAGUCUCCUCUCCCAAUUAGGAUCGUACAGCCUCUGUGUUUCACGUGGUUCAUGGAUGGCCGACGAUCGCCAACCCAUUCCCCCUCCAUCGGCCGAUCAGCGGUCCCAAUUCAAUUCGGAGACUAGUCCUAACCGCCACGUAGUCCAUCGUCACCGCGAUCUGUUGACACGUACCCAUCCAUCUUCCCCCGAGCGGGGCCCACAUGAGGGCAAGACAAGAGACGGACGUACGAUGUCAGAAAUCGUGCAUGCAUGUGAUCUCCCGACUGAAGCCACGUAUCAUGAUCCGUCCUGUCUGCAUUCAAAGGGCGGCAGGGACGCAUUGGGUCGGACGUCACCGCCGGGCAUUAAAUGGGUGCAGUUGGGUUGGAAACUCUCUCUCUCUCUCGGCAUUAAAUUCCCUCUCCUGUGUGGGGCCCUGAGGGAGAGAUACUGCGACAGUCAUCAUUGACUUCCCCAAGGAAACAGGUCUUCAAUAAAUUUCGAUUUGACUGGGAUGUCUCCUAGCGGUAAUUUUUUUUUUGAUCAAAGGAAUGGUCAUAACUGAUAGCUAUUUUAGAACUUUGUUUUCUUCCCCACCUUAAUGGCGCUCAGCGAACAACCCUUGAAUCAGCCUUAAAGAUACAUCCGUUUAGUCAUGGCAGGUGUCAGACUGACAAGUGCAUAGUAAAUUAGUAAUAGCACUUUACAAUCUAAUAUUAUGAUGCAAAAACCGUAUCUACAAUAUCAUUUUGAAAGUUAUAGUAAUUAUAAAAUAUUGAUAGUAAAUAUAAAUAUUUAUUAUAUACUAUUAUAGUAAUUAUUAAAACAAUAUGAUAGCAUACAAAAAUAUAUUAUAAUAUAAUAUAAUAUAAUGUAGUCUUAUAUCAUAUUAUAUAAUAUAUCUCUUUAUUUUUGUUGUAGCACUGGUGAAAUGAUAAUGUAAAUCAAAUUUGGGAGUAUAAUUUGAGAGGAUGAAGUGGGCAUAAAAUUAUUCUAAGUUGGACAGAGAAUAACCUGUGCUUGAAAAAUAAGCAUAAACAAGUUAGGCCGGGCAUAACCAAUUCUUAAUAUGCUGAUUUUGCAAAUGAUGUUUAGUUUGCACAAAAUUUUAUUGCAGAUCUUAUGCUCCAAUCAAACACCACCAAAAAAUUUAUUUAAUUAUUAAUUUUAUAACAAACUUUCAUAUUUAUAUUUUUUAUUUUACAAAAUGUGGAUCUUAAUAUGUUUNNNNNNNNNNNNNNNNNNNNNNNNNNNNNNNNNNNNNNNNNNNNNNNNNNNNNNNNNNNNNNNNNNNNNNNNNNNNNNNNNNNNNNNNNNNNNNNNNNNNNNNNNNNNNNNNNNNNNNNNNNNNNNNNNNNNNNNNNNNNNNNNNNNNNNNNNNNNNNNNNNNNNNNNNNNNNNNNNNNNNNNNNNNNNNNNNNNNNNNNNNNNNNNNNNNNNNNNNNNNNNNNNNNNNNNNNNNNNNNNNNNNNNNNNNNNNNNNNNNNNNNNNNNNNNNNNNNNNNNNNNNNNNNNNNNNNNNNNNNNNNNNNNNNNNNNNNNNNNNNNNNNNNNNNNNNNNNNNNNNNNNNNNNNNNNNNNNNNNNNNNNNNNNNNNNNNNNNNNNNNNNNNNNNNNNNNNNNNNNNNNNNNNNNNNNNNNNNNNNNNNNNNNNNNNNNNNNNNNNNNNNNNNNNNNNNNNNNNNNNNNNNNNNNNNNNNNNNNNNNNNNNNNNNNNNNNNNNNNNNNNNNNNNNNNNNNNNNNNNNNNNNNNNNNNNNNNNNNNNNNNNNNNNNNNNNNNNNNNNNNNNNNNNNNNNNNNNNNNNNNNNNNNNNNNNNNNNNNNNNNNNNNNNNNNNNNNNNNNNNNNNNNNNNNNNNNNNNNNNNNNNNNNNNNNNNNNNNNNNNNNNNNNNNNNNNNNNNNNNNNNNNNNNNNNNNNNNNNNNNNNNNNNNNNNNNNNNNNNNNNNNNNNNNNNNNNNNNNNNNNNNNNNNNNNNNNNNNNNNNNNNNNNNNNNNNNNNNNNNNNNNNNNNNNNNNNNNNNNNNNNNNNNNNNNNNNNNNNNNNNNNNNNNNNNNNNNNNNNNNNNNNNNUUGAACCUAAGUCGAGGUUUUGCAACAUUCAUAACUGUUCCAUUGUGCACGGUUUGAUUCUAUGGCUUCUACCUUUUUUUAGAAGAAAUUCUCUCGCCUUUUUUCCUCUAGUUACCAUUCUCCAAAUCUUAAAGACGUGCUAAGAAAAUUUUGUUAACAUUGCCAGCCCAAUUCUUGACAAAUUUCAUGGAACUUUUACUGGUAACCUAUCUAUACUCAAAAGCACUAACUCACUUUUUCUUUGGUAAUGCUACCUCCAUAUUCCUAACUUGAUUUGACAGAUUUGGACCUACUUCUGUUAUUAAUAGUCAGAUCUCCUAAUAUGAGUCUUAACAUACUUUCCAUGCGACAUCUUUGACAGAAUCAUCUUUGUCUUUCCAGAAAACAACUCCUUUUUAUCAUAAUUUUACUAUUAUUUGUAAUGACUGCACCAACAUUACUUCUGCAAGUUUUCCGGUCUUCAUCUCUAUUAACUCUCUAUCUUUGUUAGGUUGUGUUUGUGUGUGUGUAGGCUUGUAAAAGUCGCAAAAAGUUGCAUGUGACAUAAUCUAAACCAUCAAACUCAUAUAUCUUUUCAGUUACUUAUCAUUUCAUGAAGACCAUUUCAUUUCCAUCACAUCAAGGACUUUCUUUUUUCACCACAUUUCCUUGUAUGUACUCUUUAACUUGAAUUCCUGCUUGCAACUCUAGUAUGUAGUUACUGUAAGUAAAUUUUGAUGAUUAGAUAAGUACCUUUUGACCUAGAUCAGAAGCUGAGGACCUUAUGCUUAUUUAGCUCUAUAUGUCAUUGAUGUACAAGGCUCGAUUGUGGUAUUUUCAUUUCUAGUGAUCUCUAUCUGAUUUUCCUGUGGUGGCAGCAUUCCCCUGUCUACAUUGAUGAAUGAGAUUGGUAGAAGAGUAGUACACAUCAAGCAUGGACACUCCCUUGUUUGGCAGCGAUUCAUAAAGUAAAGCAAUAGCAUUAUCUACUCUACCUUUGCUCUAAUGGUGGAUCCACCUUUGUUGUCGCUUCUCGACCAAAUUCAUCUCUGAUGCUAUUAUACUCUCAUUGACUCCUCAUUAUAAAGUUUUGUGAUAGGCAAGUUUCAUGCCAACUUGCUCACUUACGGCCCUUAGUUCUGCUUCAACAAUUGAUAGCUUCUUAUAUAUAAUCUUCCAUCUCAUGUUACUCAUCAUCAUCAUCAUCAUCUCUCUCCGAUCAGAUUCUAACUAAAUUGAACCCAAAGCUUGCUUCUAGUCCUCACUCUAUUUCAACAUUUGAUAGCUGUUGGCCUUCUUCGACCUCUUGUUGUGGUCACGGUCCCGAUGUAAUGGGUCUAGGAUGAGUCAGACUCUGCACCAGUUAUUGGUCUGGAAGAUUGAUUUCUGGUAGAUUCUUGAAUAGAAGCAUAAGAGAGACUGGUGAAGAGUCAUCAUAUGUGGGUUGGAUGUUAUCUUAUCCAUGAUAUGCUCUGGAAGCUAAUAGCGACAUGGUUUGGGAGGGCAUUCAUGCAUGAAAGUCUGUCCAUGGAAGAGAAAAGGUAGAGAGAGUGCAGGGAAAAAAGGCUUAAAAGUGAGGGUUGGACAUCCAGAGAAAUGGACUUCUCACUGCAUUGUGGUAGACCCAUGCGUCCAACAAUCCAUGUGCUGUCUUAAAGCAUUCAAGCUGAGACUCUCCUUUGAGGCAUUUUCCUUCCUUCCCUUCUUUAGUCCUCCAAAUAAACCAUGCUAUGUAUCUUUGCUAGUCCAUAUCUCAUACUGUUGCCUUUAUUUUGGGCUGGCUUGCUCUUUAUACUUCUAUCCCUUUUGCUAGCUCAUGAUACUGCUAUCUUUCUUUUGCUCUAAUUUAGAAACUAACAAUCAUAAGAUCCUUUUAGUCAAUCCAUAUUACUGUAGCUUUGACCCGGCUCUCGUGCGAGCCAUCCUCAACUUUUAUCUCUUGUUCCUUAGGAGAGGUGUGGCAUAUGAUGAUUUAGUAUUGAUCAAACUCUCUCUCUUUCAUUAUUUCUAUUUCUAGUUCUUGUCUCUUGAUGACAUGGUCCAUUGUGUAUUGCUUCUUUAAUUUCAUUCAUGUUGAGGUUUAUCCUGUCAUCCAUGUUGAGGUUUUAUCCUAUCCAUCCUUUAUCUAGAUCCUCUUUUAACUUCGAGAGCGAAACUCAAUACACAGAGUAAUGGCAUGUCUCGAGAUGCAAGACAGCUUACCUAUCUGAAAGGGGAACCAUGAAUAGGAUUGGAAAGGUGAAGAGAAGAAAGGAAGCGCUGUGUUUGUAGGGGUUAGACGUACACUUAAGAGUUGUGGUUAGAAUGAAUGGAUUACUACUCCCAUGGCAUUCCCUGUCCAAAAUGUAUGGUGUUCUUUUGAUAUUACGAUGAACAGACCAGUUAUUGAUUAAUAGAAUAGCCUUGAAUCAUGGAGAUGAUCGAGUACUGGAAUUGUUAUGACAAAAUUGAGAGAUGGUCGCAUAUAGGAUAGCCUCAUUCACAGGUUUGCAUGAUAUGCCUAUUGACAGAAGUAUGUCUACUGAUGAUAAUCUUGAAAACGAAUAUGGAAAAUAACAACAGAGAUGUUUAAAUCCUAAUGCAUGCAAAUGCAAGCAUAUCGUACAGUACAAAGAGUGGCAAAUACUUGAUGAAUAGUUAAUAGUUUGAGAUAUUACGAAUUAUUGAAUGGAUUUUGAAUAGUUUAAUUACUUGAUGGGCAUUUUUUUGUUCCCUGAAUGAUUAAACAAACUUUGAAUAGUUCACAAAGCUCAAGUAGUUAUCAUAUCUGAAGGUACAUGUUAACAGUUAUGAUCCACGGUCCACUUAGUUCUUUAUUUGUUAUCUACUAAUCAUAUGCCAAUUUUUUUUGGACUAAAUUAUAUGUCAAAUUCAACACUAGUUAUACGAGCAAAGAUAGAUGGCAGAUACUGAACGCCCACAAAUUCCUGUGUCUACUAUUCCAGUGUGAGCUCUACUUGGUUAUCCAAGAGUUGGUAGAACCAUGGAGCAAGCAAAUAAAAAUCAAACUUCAUGCCUCUAAUAUAUUAGGUUUUUGAACUUUAUUGUUCUAGUAGCAACAGAAGCAGCAGCUGCAGCAAUAUAUAGUUUCAGGAUUAAACUCGUGACAUCCGGUGCUAAACUCUAUGUUACAUCUAUAGACUUUAUAUAAUGUUUGUGGUCCAAGUUGGACCAAAAUAAAAGAAGAGGGGGCAAAAGAGAAGGGAAAAAGAAAGAGAGUUUGAACUUGGGUGGUCUCUCUUGUUUUCAUGUUUGUCACUGUCCUAACAAAUCCUGCCUCAUCUCAUGAUGAGGUCCGUCACAACAAUAAAGCCUCAUCAGCAUGUGAUGCCUACUUUUUGCUCUACCAAAAACUCAGGUGUGAGGUCCUUUACCCACUGGUAGGCCACCAUUGUAAUGGAUUAAAGAAAGUUAGAGGUAUAGCCAUAUUAAAAUGGAUUUCAUUGAGCUAGUUAUUACACGCUUUGAAUCUUUUAUCCAUUCCCUCUGUACAAUAUGAGCUUAGUGUCCAUGGGAAGAUGAUUGACAUAAGGGUGCAAAUGAAUGAUUGUUAAGAGAAGAAAUGAGUUCUUUUAUGUGGAAGGGAAGGAGGAAAACACUGCCAUAAGAUAGAGGAGAUGCUAAAUUUUAAUGAGUUCUUUUAGGUGUAGGUAACAAAGGUUAGCUUGGGGUGGUUUUGGUCUUCUGUUUGGUCUUGUUUGGAGCAGUGUAUUUUCUCAUCUGUCUCCUCUUUUAGCACUUCUCAUCCAAGUACUUGAAGGGCUUUCAUCAAUGUUUCCUGAGCUCUUAUAUGGUACUGAUGUCUAAUGGAUUGUUUAAAUUUAGGCCAAUAAUUUGAAUUAUACCAUAACUCUAAUACCUCACUCUUGUUGCUACAUUAAAGUGAAGUACAAUGAUAUCUUUCUCUCUAGACAUAAAAAAAAAGUCAAAAAAAGAACUAUAAAGAUUAAGAAAGCCUCAGAAAUAGCUUUGGAACAGCUCAAUGGAGAUAUCCAACAACCACAAGAUAUAUCAACCAAUAUCUGAAAUUAAUGGAUUUAUGAAUGGAUAUGUAUCUAACUUGAAGCACCCAAGUCGGUCCAGUUUUUUAUGUGGUCUGAAUUUAGGCAUAAAUGUAGAAAAAUAUGGCAGAAAUCCAAUGUUUUGGUGCCCCAAAGAAUGAUAAACUGGAGUUCAUUUGGCUCCAGUCCUUCCAAUUUAUAAGGGAAGAUAAAAGGUAUAAAAACAUACGGUGGCCGGCCUAGUAAAGGUGGUGGCACAUUAAAUUAGAGUUAUAUCUAUCUUCUUUCAUUUUUCUUUCAUGAAAAAAUAAAAACUGAAAUUAGAUUUAAAAAAUUAAAAAUUAAAUUUAAGGUGCAAAUCCUAAUGAAUUAAAGCAUUGUGUGGUGGCAAUAGGCUAUAGUGGGUGGCUGCCUGCCUACCAAAGGUUGAAACACCACAUCUUCCCUUUGUUUUGCCUCUGAACAAAGGAAGGAUGACAGGUGACAAUUAUGGGCAGAAGGUGGAGUGCCUCCAUUAUUUCUCCCACCAGCCUAAAGGAUGGAUUCUUCUCUUCUUUGAGUUACAUUUGAACUGCCUUAGCUAUGCUAGGAUCAAUAGUCUUGCUCCCCACCAUAGUCCAUGGCUUUGGUUAAAUUCCAUCAUUUGGGAAUUGGAACCAUAUCCAUGUAAUGCCAAAUACAUCGAAUCAUGAUUAUUAACCAACUUUGCUAGUUGAAAUGGUCCAUCAAUUAGAGUAGGACCUAGUCGCCUCAACAAAGAUUGAAUCCACACAACUAACAACAGCUUCCAAAGCUUCAAUCCUAAGUUUUGUUUUAUUUUUUUUUUAUCCUUUUGCCUGAUGAUUUUUUGAAAUAAUAUAAAAUGUUAAUAAUUUGCUCAUUAACUCUUAAUUUGCUCAUAGUUUAAGCUUAUGCCAAUGUCCGACUAGUUUAUUCAUAUAAUAUCUUUCAUAUGAAAGGGAAAGAGUGAGAAGACAAGGAGAACAAAAAUCAACCAUUUAGAUACUUUUACUCUUCUAAGGAUAUCUCCUGGAAAGGACGAAGUUUGCCAAGCAUCCAUUCCUAAGAUGUAUGUCACCUAUAAACAAAUUAGUUUAUAUUUUACUUAAAUUAAAGGAGUGGAGCAGCUGAAAGUAAGGAUGCAUUUAUUAAAUAGGAGUUCAUGGUCAUCAUUUUUUUUCUUUCACUUGAUAAUAGCUAUUUAUUUAUGCUUUCUUUCAUAUACAUCACAUAUACCUAAUGCCACAGUGUCUUUUAACCUAACUAGAAGUUACUAUCAAAAAAAGGGGGUGAGAAAAAAAAUGCUAGAAGUCGAUCUAAUGGGUGCAUGAAUUCCUUCAACCAACUACGAUCAUCUUUUUCGAGCAAACAACUAAUUAUAAUUUCCAAGUAGGCAUAAGAACACCAUGAGGGAAGUGAACAUGUUGUGUCUUGGAGGACCAAAAAGGCCAUUGCUACCUAAUUGAUCUCCCCUGUCUCACAUGGCUCACUUGGGUUUGAGUGUGAGCCAUCACAAUAAAGAUACACAUAAUGUAGACCAUGCACUCACAUUCUUAGAUAAAUAAAUAAAGUUUCUCCCUGUCAUUUAACAAGCAUGGCCCUCAGAGCACAUGGGAAGAUGCCUAGAAAGAAGGUUAUGUCAUGUGAUUCUACCAGAAUUCAUCCACAUAUAGAUUCUGUGGUGAGAUGUGGUAUUUUUUCCUUGGAAAAGUACAUAGAUAUAAACUGCUUUUAUUCCACACUGACUUUCUACCACCACCACUACCUACUUAGGGUCUGAUUAAAGUGAAACAGGGGAGCCUCAUGGCCUGUCUCCCAAACCACCUGCACCACCAUCUGUGCUACUUAUAUGUUAAAUUCUUUAUUGCUUAAUUAAUGUGGCAAUAUAAGCUAUGAUUAGUUCCUGAUGAUUUAACAUUGUAAGCAUGUUAGCUUAUGGAUUUUCUUGUGAUUUGGAUGUGAUUUGAAGAGUACCAACGCCUAUUGGAGUUUGGGGGGCACACAAUUUGAAACCUAAAUAGAUGGAUCUUGGUCUUUGUUGGUGGUUGGUAAUUACAAUCGAAACUUUUGGAUGAAUUUUAAAAAAUUAAAAGCAUGCAUCUUUAUUGCAAUAUUUUAAUUCAUGCAACUCUGUAUAUCCAUGUGAUAAUUAGAAUCGCAACCCUAAAUUCACCCAGAGGAAGUUUAACUAAGGACUUGGUUAUGAUGUAGGAUUAUGAAAUAACUAUCAUGAAUAAUUUUAUGAAAAGAAAUAUCAGUUCCAAUGGUCCCCUUUUACAGAAGGACAUUCUCACACCAAAUCUAAAAACUUUUCUCAGAGCAUUUCCCUUCUUCAAUAACAUUAUGUAAUCCUAUUACCAACUUAAGCUGGUACAUAAAUUCAUAUAACUCAUGGUUUUAUGUGAUGAACUGGAUGCAUUCAUACUAGUCUAUAUCUAGUAUGAAUACAUCCCAUAUAGUUAGAAAAUAAACUAUCACAAAACUAUAAAGGUAAAUUAGAAGAAUCCAUCUAAAGUAUGCUACCAAAGUAAUCCGCAAUAAGUGAACCUGCCACGUUGUUCGCUUCCUGAUACAUAUGCCUAGCAUAGAAAGAAACACAUUGACUAGCUAGCCUCCAGAUAUCCAUCAAAAGAGGAUGAUUGUCUGCUUGCAGUGCUUGUUUCAACACCCACCCAACUAUAGUGGAGGAAUCACCUUCAAGGAGAAUGUGGCUCGCCCUCAGGAUUACCUUUGCGAACCUAAGAUUGUCCUAUGCUCCUCUCAGUUCUACACCAAGAACAAUGAUAUCAAACAGUUGAGAUCCCUCUACAAUGACAAACUCAGAGUUUAGCCCUCUAAUUACAAAAGCAGCACCACCUCUAACACCACCAGCAUCCAUGCUUCCAUCGAAGUUCACUUUGUAAAAACUAGGGGAUGGGGCUCUCAAGUGAUGAACACUUUCUGCAUUAUAGCAUGUGCUGAAGAAGAAUCCCAAAUGUCCCUAGCAAUCAAAAAUUCUCCCAUAGAAAGAUUCGCUAAUAUUUUAAUUGACUAUAUAAUAGCUCUCUCAAUGAUAAGUAUGGAUAGCAACGAACUAUUCUCGAACACUCGGCUAUUUCUAGCAUCCCAAAUAUAAUAUGCAAUAUAAGCCCAAAUACUCAAUUUACUAAAUAUAGAAAAAUGUCAACAAUAUUACUAGUUCUUUACUUCUACUAUAAAACUUCUAUCAAUGUUAUUGCCAUUAUAAUAAUUGUUGUUUACAAAAGAUUACGUAUUUUAUGAAAUAUAGGGUCCUCCAUAGUAAUGUAUCAUGAAAAUGCACAAUCUUCGCUUAGUGCAUUAGAGAAUAAAAAAUCACCAUACUUUUACAAGCGACUGUAGUUACAAGCCAUAUGAAUGACUUUAGCUCCUUUUUUUUUAAUGACUUUAGUCCUUUUUACCAAAAGAAAAAUGUCAUGUGAAAGAUUGCCAAAAUCUAUAACAUCCCUCGACCAUUAUAGAGGAGAUAUAGGAGUACUUGUCAUUGCCUAUGACAGCUUAUUGCUUCAAAUAUGUGACCAGAACCAUUGCCUUAUGUGAUAUGUUACUUAAAUCUUAUAUAGGGAUGGAGUUGAUACAUCAAACUUAUAAGAACGAGUCUCCUUACUUAGACAUUUGAGGAGAAAGAAAAGGGAAAGAAGAAAGAAAAGGUGGAGGCCAACCAAUCUGGGCAGCAAGGCUAGGUUGGGACAACCCUAUGAAUUCGCAUCAUAUGUAUUGUUUUAGAACUGGUAUUUAGAAAGCUUAGGUGCUUCAUCACCUUUCAAGAUCCACUCUAACUCUAUCUUCAAUAUUUCAUGUGCAACCUCACUAGUUAUCUUAAACAGAAGGCUUUCCUCCUUUCUAGAUACAGUUUUGCUUUCGAGUCUAUUGAUGCGCUAUAUGGACUCAUUUGCCUCAUUGAAAUGCAAUUUUUUUUAAAGAUGCUGGGUGGUGUCUAGUAUUCCAUUAAGAGAUGAACUUGGAAUAAAAAUUCUGAAUCCAUGUAUAAAAUUUCUCAACUUACAUGAAGAUAGAGAUACUAGAUGCAAAGAAUGAGAUUUGAGAUUUGAAAUGAGAAAGAAAGAAAAUCAAAAUGAACCGCUCCUUAAAAUUUUUGUCUCUUUGCUUAAUAGUAAGGCAAAGUCUAAGAUUAAGGCGAGCUUACAGGCACAUAGGAAAUAGAGGAGUGCGUUAGCUGUGAUGUAUAUUAACAAAGCAGCCACUCCUCAUAUUGGCUACUACAAUGGAGCUCCUGAUUAGCGACUUGGAGAAGGUUUGAUUGGAUAUAAUUAUUUUUCUUUUUCUAUAAACCUCGUUCUAUGGAAACCUUAACAAUUCGUUCGCUUGGUGGGUUCAAUUGUUGGUAGACUAAUGUAAAGCUUCCUCUUUGCCCUAUUGUGCGUAGCAGUAUCCAUUUUUUUAAUAUAUUAAGAUGAUGUUCAGAUAAAGAAUGCCUAAAGCCAUCUAGGUAUGAGAAGGAGAAGUAUUGAAAAAUAUAUGUAAAAUCUGAAUUUUUUUUUAAAAAAAAGGUCCCACUACUUAAGCCAUAAACUUUUAGCUAUGGCCGAGGACCAAUAUGACCCAUCAUUAUGUAUUUUUCCACAUUUAAAACUAGCCAUGCAUGGAUCCUCUACCAUGUCAAUUUUAGAAAUUGCUUGUAGUUAGCAUAACUGCAAAGUUUUAUUAGUUGUGUAAUUACUCAAGCCUCGUAUAAUGUGUUUUUAGGUUUUUUUAAUUGAAAAAUGCACAUAAAAUCCUAAAAAAAAUUGGAAAAGAGUUGGGGCUUACAUUGGCCAUAUUAUUUGCUACUCUGAUAGUAUGUCCUUGGAUGAUGCUUUACAAAGCAUGAUUAGACUACAUCUGAAAUCCUGCUCAUGAGCAUCACAGCUGUGGUUUUUAUAGUGCAUGUCAAAGCAAGAUCUGCAUAUGAAAAUUUUACUUGGAAAUUUGGGCCUUACCCCAAUAUGUCUUAUAUAUAUCUAAAUCAUUAAAAAAUUCUUCAAAUUGGGUGGUAGAGGAUCUCUCAUCAGGACCAUCCACUCUGAUACAUAAGAUGACAACUAGGCGCUACACCAAAGUUCUAUCCAAGAUAAGAAUCCUGCAUGCAAAUAAUUAAUCUAUUUCUUCACCCAAAGUUGUAGAGGAUUUAAAUUCCACAAAAAACAUAACAAGCAAGAUAUAUUAAGAAAAAUGAAAUAAAAACACAAGAAAGACAUCAAGAAACUGAUUCCCACUUGUUAAUUACAUUUACUUCUUUGAGUACUACACUGGUUACAUUGUUUAACAAUCUACAUUUGAUGCAAGGCUCACUUCUANNNNNNNNNNNNNNNNNNNNGCAUCGGAUAUGGUCGGUGCAUUGUUAUUGGAUUGUCAUUCUAGGUCCAUCUGACAGUCUUGACCUAUGGACCCAUCAACUUUCUUAGAAAGAUGAUUUUCAGUCUCUUUUCAUUUACUCCAAGACUAAAAUCUUUUGUUUGAAUCACAUUCAUGGCUAGUUCCCUAGCUACUUUGAUUCAAUUGAACCAUAUAGACUCUCAUCUGAGAACGUUUUGGAACAGAUUGUGAAGAUCUAGCCCAUAUGGGGGCGGAGCAUUUCAAAAUCUGUGCGCUGAAUGGUUUAAAUCUUAAUUUGACCAACUUGACAUGGUUUUUGGAGGAAAUUUUAGUGGUUAGAGAUUUCAAUUAUGGAUCUUCUUCUUAUGCUACAGUAAUUACCAGCGUAAAACAAAUGUAGCAUGCAAUUUGUAGGUAUGACACCUACCUCCUUUUGAGGCAGUACUUGUUUGUAUUUGCACUAGGUGGCAUGGUGGAUUUCUUGAAUGUCUGCACCUAAGCUUCUGUUUGUGCUACNNNNNNNNNNNNNNNNNNNNAUGCAGCAUUAGCUACACAAGAAUACCAAGAGAAGUUUUCUUUUAAAAAAAAGGAAUUACAAACAGAAGUGAAGCCAUGAGAGGUUAUCCAUUGUUUUGUCUCUCCACUUGGUUUUAUAUUUUUGUAAGGUUUAUAUCUCAUUGAGAUCUUCUCCACUUUCAGUUUGUGGUGGAUCCUAUCUUACAUCCUUUGUUAUUUGCUUUUUCUGGGUCCCCUCAACUCAACCAUAUUUGUCAUUAUUACCUCUAACCUCCCAAACCAAUAAUAUUUUUUUUUAUUCGAUGCAAAAUCUGUCGUCAUGUUUCUUCUGAUGUGCUCAUCUUCAGCUAUAUCCUCCUUGAUGUAUUCCUAAACUACUUGGUGUAUCUUUUUCCUCUACAAUUUAAUUUUUUUACAAGUUAGUUUUUUAAUGCAUCCGUCUCAUUAUAUGCAUACGAAACAUAUAAAAUUAAAUCACGAACAAACAACAAGAUUUUCUCAAUGUUUUCAUCAUUUCCUUUCGCUAUAUGCCAUGGGUCGAGAUUAGCAUGCAUGGUCAAUAUGUUGAUCUAUAUCUUGUUAGAUUUGUAUAUAGUGAAGAUAAUUUUAUUUUUUUAAAAAUGUAACAAAAAUAUUUGUUUUUUAAUUUUUUGAGAAAUAUAAUGAGAAUUUGAAUUUUGGAACUCUCUACAGUAGAUAGAAAUGUCAACUAAGAUCUAAAAAAAAAAAGAAGAAAGAAUUCCAUCCCAGUUGAAAUCUCAGUAAAUACAAAUUAAUAAAUCUCUAGAUCUUGAUCAAUAAAAUAUCGUACAUAUCAAUCAGUCAAUUUUUUUACUUUCUCAAAUAGAACUAUGGAGUUAAUAAAUCUCAAUAUUUAAAAAUAAUUAUUAAUUUUGGAUUCACCAUAUGGAUAUUUCAAUAUCUCAAUCUUAAUAUAUUGAACAAAAUCUAACAUCCAGAAUCCUUCCAAAAAAACCAAGAUCUCAUCUUUCAAAAACUACUAGUGACAACAAACUGAGUUAAAGUUGGUUGGCUUGAAGAUGAGCACUGCAGCAAUGCAGGUUAAUUGCUGCUUACAAAUUCCUAAUAGAAGCCCCAUGCAAGUAUACUACCAACUUGCAUUAUCAAGGACAUAUCCUCCCAAGAUUCCAAUUUCCAAAGGUCACAUGACCUGAAUACUGUUUAUAACAUAGAAAUUAGAGGCACACUCUGCACAUAAUUCCACCUACUAAUAUCCAAAUGACUAAUCAAUUCCACAAACCUCCAAUCCCACCUCACACACCACAGCCAACUUACUUUUAAGCACAACCAUUCUACCCCUGCCUUUUUUCCUUUCUGACCAAUCCAAUCUUUUCAGCAGUCCAACAACUUUAUGGUGCCUCAUAUAGAUUUUCUCCAAAUUUGAUAUAAUGGAGAAGUCUUCAUCAUUAUCUGCACACCCCACUUCUGGUUUCCCCCAACCUUUUCUUUUCUUUUUUUUUUUUUUUUCCCUGGUGACACCAGAAGAAUCUUUUACUCUUCUCCCUGCUACAUGACCUUUCUCCCUCUGACCAUUAUUAACCUCCCCUCUCUUCUACCAGGUUGGUUGUUGUAGAGGGCCACAGCCAGAAUCCUUCCCCCCUCCCCCUCCCUCAUAUUCUUCUCCACCACCUUUAAGUCCUCAUGGCCCUGGCAUCCAUUUCUUAGAGGGCUUGCUUCAACCCCUGGCACCUUUGAGGUUUGUGUUCUAACUGUACUCUUUAGUUCUUUUCUUUUUCUCUCCCUAUCUUCUUCACUUCUUUGGAUCUUCUCCCUCUUACACCUAACCUUGGCUGAAGCUUCCUGGCUCUUGGGCUCUUUAUUGCUUAAACCUCACAUAUGAGUCAUAUUUACUUUCCCUUUCUCAUGAACUGAUCUCUCUGCACUUUCUUGCUCCUCUCAAGAUGUUGUUCCACUGCUCCUCCUAUUUUUCUUCUUUCCUUCUUUGCUUCCUUUAGUAAUUACUUGUGUUUUAUUUCUCCCAAGCAAAAAAAAAGAAAAGAAAAAGAAAAAGAAAAAAACUUUCUUUGCAUCUUUUUAGCUACUUAGAUAUUAGCUCAAGCUGCCAGGUCUCGUGUUGCAGUUUACUGUAGUAUUCUGUGUUCUUCUGUGGUUUGUUCCAUGCAAUCCCUGCUCUUCCAUGCUUGCUUGAUGUUUUCUGCCUUGGUGCUCAUUUAUUAGACUCUCUAAAACAUCUGUUCUGCUAUAUUUUCUUCAUCUUGGCUCCUUUUAUCUACCUCGUUCUUCUUUAUUUUCUCCUCCCAAUGCCACAAUCUUACUUUCCUCUUCGGUGGGAGAGCACCGGGGACCAGUGGUGGUAUGCCUCCCCCAUUGACUGGGCGGCGGCCAAUGGCCACUAUGACCUGGUCCGGGAGCUUCUCCACCUUGAUGCCAACCUCCUUAUCAAGCUCACCUCCCUCCGCCGGAUCCGGCGGCUCGAGACAGUCUGGGACGACGAUACACGCUUUGUCGAUGCCGCGAAAUGCCGGUCCUUCGUCGCCCGAAACCUCCUUCUCGAGUGCGAGACGAAGAACCGGAAAAAUACUCUGAUUCGAGCUGGCUAUGGUGGUUGGCUGCUCUACACUGCAGCCUCCGCAGGGGAUAUUAGCUUUGUUCGAGAGUUGCUUGAGAGAGCCCCACUUUUAGUCUUUGGAGAAGGAGAGUAUGGUGUGACGGAUAUACUCUAUGCCGCGGCGAGGAGCAAGAAUUCUGAGGUUUUUAGGCUACUGUUCGAGAUUGCGGCGUCUCCGAAGAGCUUGGUAGGUGGCAGCGGCGGAGAGGUGGUGGAUGGAUCGGGUGGGUGUGUUUUGACCUUUAAGUUGGAGAUGGUGAACAGGGCUGUUCAUGCUGCUGCUCGAGGAGGGAACUUGGAGAUCCUGAAAGAGCUUCUCGAGGACUGCUCUGAUAUCUUAGCUUAUAGAGAUGUUCAAGGAUCUACCAUCUUGCAUGCUGCUGCUGGCAGAGGGCAAGUUGAGGUGAGAAUGCUUCCACUUUAAAUUUUCACUUGGAUUAUCUAGCUGAUUUGAUUUAGUGUUGAUUUAUGGUCCAUAUCAGCAUUUUGCUUAAAGUAGUGGUUUCCAGUAAUUUUUUUCUUGAGAUAUGUUUGUUUCGACAUUCUCUGUAUUGUUUUUGAUAUGUUACAAUACUACUUCAAAUGACGAUGGUUAUAACGAUAAAUGUGAAUAAAUGCAUUCUGUAGGGUUGCAAAUCAGCAGCAGUAGAUUUGCCAUCUCAUGAAGAUAUAGCUCUCUGAUCAUUUUAUUGCCUUGCUGAAAUAACUUCUUUGUUUCCUUCAUAUUUUUAUGUAAGUAAAGAAUCUGAUAUGCUCUAUUAUUAAUAACAUGUAAUGAUAAUUUGAUAAUAUCUUGUAAUUUUAUUGUCGAUUAAAAUACCUUCCUUGAUAUGAACGGGCAUUUCUUUCUUAGGAUCAUGUAGUAUGUACGUGUGGAUGUACGUAGACUUGGUUGUUCCUUGUGUUAAAUGACAAAAAAAAUGCCCUUCUAAAGGUAAAAUAUCAGAGGCUAUUUUGGUCUUAUCUGCCCAUUCUUUCUACUAAAUUACCACGUUGUUUAAUAUCAGUUCUAGAAUAUCCUUUUUUAUUGGUCAUACAUUUUUUUCCUCCCUCAAAUCAAUUGAUAGAGACUUCAGAAUAAAAGGCUGUUACUUUGGACCUUGCCACAUUAGUAAUUUGGCUUUUGUUUCAUCACUUUGCUAUCGCAGGUAGGCCUUUUACUGAUUGUUAGUUGCUAAUGUUGAUACUGAAGAUGCUAAGUUUCCUGAAUAUAUAACUGUAGGGAAACUGAUUUGUGAACUAUUUAUCUGAAACAUUUUCUUAGAACAUUUGUAAUUUUAGAUGGAUCAUCAAGCAACUAUUUGGUGAUGUUGUUGGGAAAUCAGUAUCAGCAUUUAGUUGUUGAUGUUAUCUGCUGUAGAAGUCUCUCUACAUACAAUUGACAAAGAAAAAAAUAUAAAUACAAGUGGAACUAAUUGACAAAACCAUGUCCUGAACAAAUGCAACAAGGCUGUAGACAAAUCAAGCUGAUAAAAGAACCAAUUAUCUAAUGAAGUAGGUGAACUGAGUAUUUUAGCUGCAUAAGCUGCAAUCUAGUAGUAUUAGUUUUCAUCAUUCUAUCAACUGUAGUCUCUGAAACAUUAAAGGGAUGUGAACAUGAGCAUAUUCUCAGCACACCUAUAUAAAGAGGGAUAAAAAAGAACAAAACUGUGAUUCAAUGAUGUCACUCAGAUGAUUCUAUAAACUAUAAGUUUCUUAUUAGAAAUGCAAGGUUAGGAACCCAAAACCAGGAAUUUGGCUAUUUUGAGCAUCAAUUGGUGAGUAAUGAGCUAAUGUUUAGGUUUAAUUUAAGUGCCCACUUGCAACUUCCUUCUUGUCCUUUUCCUUUUCUGUUCAUCUUUUCUAGAUAAAGUGAUUAUGUGUUGAUGUGAAAGUUAAAAAACGAGUGAAACAGAUGAAAAGUAUGCAGCCUCUAGUAUCAUACUGGAACUCUGCACUAUGGUCGGCUAGUAGUACCAUGAGGCUUUUAGCAGCAAAAAAUAUGUAUAAAGCUAGAAAGGGGAGGUUGUGUCGAUAUCAAUAAGAACUAAAUGAAGAUAAAAAAAAUGUCGCAUGUGAGCACCGAAGAAAAUACAAAUGCGGGUGAGAUCUAAGCAUAGAGGUUAGCAUGUGCAUUUAACUAACUUCUCUCAUUUGAUAUUUGCACUUUUUAGUUGUGCAAUUGAUCAGACCAUAAUUUCUUCAAUUCCCAUGAUUCUAAAUAGUUUUUUUUGGAACUGUGAAGGCUGUUUAACUAUUUGAGGGCUGAGGCAAAUGCCUCUGGAAGUUUACUGCUUAAGCAAUUUUGCGAAAUCUCAGUAGUUCAUUAUUUUUAGAAUUUGUAAUAUGAGGGAAGGAUGUGGACAUCAAGCUCUAAUUCACAAAACUUCAGUUUUCCAAAUUCAUAUCAUUUUUGUAGAUUAAAUCCUGUGGCAUGCCUGUCCAAAUUGCAUGAUAGUGUGAAAAUUGUGCUUCUUCGAAGAAAAUGCAGUAUGAUUUUACAUUUUUGAAUACAAAGUAAUUUGCUUAUCCUAAUAGUGGACUUCUAUUCCACGAACCAAGGGAGUUUCUUGAGCUCUCAUAAUAUGAAGCACUUGGUCCGUGUUUUAGAUAGAGUACUACUUUGAUUUAAUUACACGAUUCAUUGUUUGAGCCUCUACCCUUUUGCGUUGCUUAUUAUUUAUGGGAAUUCUUUGCUGUUGUGUGUUUUCUGUAUUAUUUGGAAGAUCUCUUGAUGUCAAGUAUGAGAAAGUUAAGUUUCCAAAACAAAUCCAUUUAAAUGAAAACAUAGAGGAGGUAUCCGAUAUGUAUCAUCUGCAUCACAUUGACAAAAAUUUGCAGUGAAAUUUUCAUUUGAAAUUAAUUUCGUAGUAACUUUAAUCAAUCCAAACUAAUUGUGCAGGUAGUCAAGGAUCUAGUGGCAUCUUACGACAUAAUCAAUUCUCGAGAUAAUCAAGGGAACACAGCACUGCAUGUGGCAGCCUUUCGAGGACACCUGUCAGUUGUGGAAGCCUUAAUUACUGCAUCUCCAUCAUCCUCCACUUUGACAAAUAAUGCUGGAGAUACUUUUCUACAUAUGGCCGUGGCAGGUUUCAGAACUCCUGGUUUCCGAAGGCUUGACCGGCAAAUGGAACUCAUGAAGAAGCUGGUUUGUGGAACUAUCGUAAAUAUGCAAGAAAUCAUCAAUGUUAGGAAUAAUGAUGGAAGGACAGCCCUUCACAUGGCUGUGAUUGGUAACAUGCACUCUAACCUUGUUGAACUCUUGAUGACUGUCCAAUCAAUCAACCUAAACAUUCGAGACACUGAUUGUCUGACACCACUGGAUCUACUCCGACAACGCCCACGAUCAGCAUCUUCUGAAAUACUGAUUAAACAGUUGAUUUCCGCUGGAGGAGUCUCGAAUUCAAAGGACUACAUGGCAAGAUCAGCCAUUGCUUCCCACAUAAAGUUGCAAGGUAUUGGAAACAGCCCAGGUACGUCUUUCAGAAUUUCCGACGCAGAGAUAUUCUUGCACGCAGGUAUUGAAGCAUCAGAAGCCAGUGGAAGGCCUAGCUCAUGCUCCAGUGUUAGCAGGAGUGAGCUUCCAAAUUUUGGCACCAUUGAUGAAAACCAAGCAUUCUCGGACAAGAAGAAACAAAAUCCUGUUAACAGUGCAGCAAGGCGUCUCAUGAUUCUUCUCAGGUGGCCUCGUCGGAAGGAGAAGAAAACUGAUACACCAAAGAAAUUGGGAGAUGAUGACUCACUGGACUCCUUGAAGAAAUGGAGUGAGCGUGAGGAGACACCGACUCCCCUCCGACAGCGAUUCUCCAGGGGAACAUCACUCCUGAACAACAAGCGAACUCUUUCUGUUAGGAGUUCCGUGCCAAGUCCAGCCACAAAAAAGAAAUUUGCUGCAGGUCUAAUGCAUGGGGUCAUUCAAACCAUGCCACACCUUGCUCCUCCGACACGGUAUCCAUCUGGUUCUUUCCCGGAGUCAUCAAUGUCAUCCCCCUCAUCAGAUAAACAGAAGGGCAUCUGUGGAGAGAAUGAGCCCAGUGGUGGUGCCUCCUGUUCAAAUUCAUCAGUUACUGGCGGUGGCACGACAGAGAACACAUCACAGAAAUCUGGUUUUGUGAAUGCUAGAUUGAUGAAUCAGUACCUUUGUUUCGGGGCACAAGGCCUGACGGUGGAGGAUUCAGUCAAUGGACAGAGAUCGAGUCGGACGUUCAAACGCUCGGUUCUGUCAGUGGCUUGAUAGACCAGAUGAAAGAUAUGGAGUUUGUGGUGUAUCUACGUAUUUGGCAUGGUCAUUGCUCUGUUGGCCAGCCGGUAUUACCAGGUGUGUUUUGUUAGCAAGGUGUGUUGGUUUUCCUAAGAGCAUCUAUGUUGCAUGUUUGCAUCUAGGUAUAUCUACUAUAUGCAUAGCUUUCUGCUGCAUGAACUAUGUCUAACUUUUGUUAAUAACUAGAGCGAAUGAUAAUAUGAAACCAUAAGUAUAUACUCUGAUUGCAACAUUUCAUGUGUUCAUACACUUUGUUUAGCCAGAUGGUUGUGGAUUGGCUACUUGGGAUUUGCAUGUUUCUCUAAGCAGUUGCAUCGCAGAAGUAGUGAAUUGAAGACCUUCGAGCUAAACCAGCACCGCAGCAAGUCCUCUGAAAUUCCACUUGGACUAACUUCUAUCAUGCAUGGUAGGGAGUUUCACACCAAAGUCCACCAUGAUUUUAGUAUUUUUCUAGCUUAAAUGAUGCCUUAAAGGCUGACUGGGUGACUGAUAUGGCUAACUCCCAUCACUUGUUGAUUGAAUUUUCAGAAUCUAGGUUCUUACCCAUAACUUUGCAUAGCAUAUUAGUAGUGAUAGCUGGAAAAAAUAAUUCAGUGUGCCACAAAGAAACUGUUUUCAACCAGAAGUUCAUCUUUUUAGGCUGCUAGUGCUUGUCUCGUACCAUAUUGGCUUUAUAAUAAAAAAGAAAGCAGUAUCCUUUACCCGAUGACAACACUCAAUGAUGGAACACAGAAUCCUGGCAUUUUAUGUUCUGAUAAUUUGAUAUAUAGGCACAAACACA
rnacentral:lncRNA from 1 species